ACCAACAAACACAUCGAACACAUUAAUUAUUGAUACAAUAGGAACAUAGUAGUACCUUAUCUCAAGCACAAAGUACAAAAAAAGUUGCAUUAUUGAUACAAUAGAAUGAGACUUUGUAACAUGUUUGAUGCUUCUACCGCAUCACCAUGUCCCAACAAGAACAGAGCUCUUUACAAGUCUCAGGGACCGUCUUUACUGAAAUCCUAUAGCACCAUAACAUCAACAGCAGAGAGAGAGAGAGAGAGAGAGAGAGAGAGAGAGAGAGAGAGGCUUAGCCUCCCUUUUGCCUAUAUGACUUGCCUCUGUAGCUUCAGUUCAUGUCUUCCUCCUCUAUCUCUGGGGAGCUAGAGGAUGACAAGCUCCUUAUGGAUCAGUUUCUUCCUCUUCCUCCGCAUCUUUAGAGAGGACGAAGUCAAAACAGGAACCAGUCGAGCUCAAGUUCCCAUUCCUUCUCUCUCUCUUCUUUGUCAUGAAUUCUACAUCCUCCACACACUCCUUAUACUUCUUCGCAUCAUAAAACGAUGGAUAUCAACUACUUUACAGCACCAAGACGCUCUCGCCGUGGAUUCGCGGAUCUCGUCACCCACUUGAUCUUGGAUAAUGGAUGACGAUGCGACGCUGAAAACAUGGUCAAGUUUUGUUUACUAAGCACGGGGAGCUGCGAUGGAGACCAUCGAAGCAGCACACAUGGCUCCCAUAACCAAAAGCUAAAGAUCAUUCGAGUCACAAAGUGCAGGUUUUGGAGGACAACGCGAGGUGGGAUGCUUUUAGAAAGCAAGGCGAGUGACGAUUAAUUAGAUAUCAGAAACAAGGUGGUGUGGGUGUAUGAUUGGAUAAGGUAGGAAAUUGCUUAUGAGCUUAAACCAAUAAAGACAUGCAACUAUAUAUGUGUUAUUAGCCACCAUGUACGAAGCUUGGUGAAGCAUCUUAUCCGAACUUGAUACAGCAGAAGCUAACAACUUACAGACUUCUAAUCGUUCAGCAUUGUAUAGACAUGUCUGAUUAGUUUCUCAAGCAGCAAUUUCUGUUCUGUACAUGAUUUAUAAGCAGGACGUUUAAUCUUCCAUAUUAUGUGAUUAGUUUCCCUAAUCUACAACCAAGUGGUCGUGCCGGAGUGGUUAUCGGGCAUGACUAGAAAUCAUGUGGGCUCUGCCCGCGCAGGUUCGAAUCCUGCCGACCACGUUUUUUUCUCUUCCUUUGUUAUAAGAAUUCCAAAAUACUUUUAUUAUUUUUACUGAAUAGUGCAAUUACUAAUUCUAGUUUUGACGCCACAUCAGCUCCAUGCAAUCAGCGGUCGAGGGUUUCCUAUGAUCCACAUGUCGACACCGUACGUCACGAGUGAGGUAGCAGCUGAUAAGCUUAACGUCGCCCUCUUCGUAUGCUGACCAAGCGCUGACUCCUCAGGGCCACCAUCCGCUCGACACGUGUCUCCACAGAGUUCCCAAUUACCGAUCGUUUCGCACGCCAUCGCUGUCGACGUACAACACCGUCUGCGAACGACAAUUUCCGCGUAAUAUUCUUUUAUAAAAUAAAUUAAUUUUAAUUUACCUGAAUUUAAAUAAAUUGCCCUCUUAAAAAAAUAAGAUUAUUUUUAAAAAUAAAAAAUAGCACUUCUUUAUAACAAAAAAAAUUAUUUUUUUACUCGAUUUUAUUUGCUACUUCUUAAAAUGUAUUAAUUGGAGAAAGGAACAAAAUUAAUGGAGUCUUAAUGAGAUUAAUAACGUGGCGUAACCUCCGGAUUAGGCUUGGGAUUUUAACUUAACCGCGGGGACUCGCUUCGCUUCACCACCAUCCUCCCCGCUCCGCGUUAAAAGGCCGUGCGGGAAGAAGAGAAAGGGAGGAGGGUGGACGCGAGUUGUAAAGAUCUCUCUCGCGCCUUGGUUCUCUUGCUUCCCUUCUUCCGCAGCAGCAUAUAAUGGUGGGAUCUUGGCCUGCUGCCUUUUAUCCGUGGCUUCGAUCAUGAGGGGGAUCUCGUAGGCCGUGAUGACGAGCUAGAUCUGGCGGCUCGGAGGUGGUCUAGAGCUGUCGCGUCGGAUCCGCCCGGUUCCAGAUGGUAUGGAUACAGAGUCUGGUGAAUGAGCUUUUACCUUGGAUUUGUGUGUUUUUAGCUGCAAAAAUAUUUCUGUCUUCCCUGUUGUGAGGUAUGGGUUGGACCAUGAUGUUGUUUCUGAUAUGGGCUGUAAUUGGGAACCUGUGGGGUCGAAUUGAGAUCUAGACAUGGGGAUUGGCGAGUUUGAUCGCCGAAAGUUUCGACCUUCGGCUUGCUAAUCUGACAUUGCUGGUUCCUCUGCCUUCUUAUGGUUCUACGGAAACCUAAUUGUUCCUUUUGUCUCACACUACGGAAGAGAGAAUACCGUUUGGGUUUUAAUAUUUUGACCGAACUAUUUCAUGCUGUAGCACAAAUUUGGAUUCGCAAAAUAUCGUCGCGUCGAAUGCUUUCUGCUCAUUUUUGGAGCUACUUCCAGUUCUUGUAAAAAGUAAGGGUUUUGCCGUCCCUCCACUUCCUAAACAAAAGUGAAGAGUGUCCUGAACUGAACUGCAAAACCGGUCGGAAAGAAUCAGUUCUGGACUCAGCUAAGGGGAUUUCAAGUAAAUGUAUAUGUGAAAUCAAGACUUUGGUUCUAGUUAUUCUAAUGUAUGUUGCAUAUGCUGCUACUGUCGCAGUGAUGCCUGAAAAUUAUCAUACUUAUGCAUCUGUUUCAUGAACCCAUGAUAGAUGUACAUGCCAAUCUUCCGAGAUGAUGGCAGUUUUGCUUGCUGUGAUUACAUGCCUUUUAAAGAUUAUGUUUAGCUUCAGAAGUUUCAUUAUUACGGAGCUUUGUCGCACUGGUGUGCUACUGUUUAGUCAUUUUAACCUAUAAAAUAGUCACUGCUUGUGUGAUGAAGGCUUGUAGUUGCCUACUGUCAUUCUGACAGUUUCUUGCUUCAAAAUUAUAAUGUUAGAAUCUUUAAGAUAGAUGAUACAUUGCUGCAGUAACCUUUACUUUUCUUACUUGUGCCAGUACAUUCGGCCUUAGUUUUUGGUUUUGUCAAAAUUAUGUUUAUCUAAUAGGUCUGCUUUUAACUUCAUUUUCAUAAAGUAUCCGGUGGUCCUUAAAUAUUUGCUAUAUUUUCUUAAAUUUAACAUCAUAGGAUAUAAUUGUUUAUUCUUUUACAUUUUAGUUCAUUGGUGCUAUUGACCUUCUUACAUUUCUUUUGGAUUUUUCAGAAAGCUAAGUUAACCAGACAAUUUUUUCAGCCUUCACCAUUCAGAAUGCUUUACUUCAUCACCUGUUGUCCCCCUGAUUAUGAGUCAAAAUUUGUAUACUUUUCACAGAACUACAAAUGCUUGUGAUUGGUGGUUCUAUUCUAACAUUGUUCUAUGUAACUAUGCCUAGACUAGUCUUCUAGAACUACUUUCUAGAUCCCUCUCAUUUUGCUUGCUUCUUAAUUUGUUUUCUUUUGAUGAUCCAGGAGACUGUCGAAAUGGAAAAGUGCCCAAUGAGACUUAAUACAACAAACCAAUUAUGUCAAGAUCCUAUGUCUGAAAAGAAGUCGAGGUUUUGGCAAAUCAAUGACCAACCAUUUCCUAGAUCUGAAGUUAUCUGUCCUCAACCUCGUUGGGUAACUAGGGUUCCUUAUUUCAUGGAAUAUUGCAAUAGAGUCGGUCCCAAUCCAAAAGGGUAUGUUUUUUUCUAAUUAUUUAGAAACAUUAAUUCCUUUCAUUUUCUUACCUGUAACAAGUUAACCGAGUUCCUCACUGAUAGCCCCAUAGGACAAGUUAAUUUGGUAAUGACAUCCAACAAGCAAAUUCUUUUUGGAUGACAAUAUGCUUUCAGUUCUGUGCCAAUCAAUUAUAUGCUUUGCGUCUGGAGUUUAACAGCAUUUUGGUAGCAUAAGAUGGAUAGUUUGGUACCCAUUUUCUCAUGCAAUAAUGAACCUUUUUAACCACUGUUAUUAUCUCUGCAGCGGAAAUGUUUAAAAUCAUCAAUUAUUUUUCUUUAUGGCAUCACUUUAUCACUUACUCCGAAUUAUUAUUGUUUUCCAGCAUUCUGCAAAUUCAUAGAGUGGAUUAUGCUUCUGAAACUCUUGAUCUUCUCCAAAGAAGGGUAAUGGUUUACAUUUGCAAUGUGAAUACGUAUUUUGGGAGAAAGUUUGUUUUUCAUUUAUCCUCUUUUAUGGUCCUAGUGACAAGUUUGUUGCUUAUUAGGAAUGCUCUGAGGGUGAUGGAGACUUGGGCAGCCAGGUGGGCCUUUUGUGUGGAUCACCUCCUGCACGCACUAACAAUCCCGUAGUCCGAGAUGCAGAGUUUGGCAAACAUAGCCAGUUCUUACCUUCCCCAAUUGGAGUCUCCCUCAGCAAGAAGCAGGCAGGGAGAGUCGAAAAAGGGUCUCCAAGCUGUGGUUCUUCCCCGGAAGUAAGAAUUGAAGGCUUUGCUUGUGGCAACUCAGAAUCCCACUGUGCUGUCCCUGCUCUUGCUUGACCUCUUCACAACUCAACCCGAUCUCGCCGUCUGUGAUAAUGUAUUGACCCUGCUUAAUCAUCAGUCUCUAGGAGAGUUUUGGUCCUGUACAUACCUGAGGUUUCUGUGUAUAUUUCCGACCUUAAAAGUAGUAUCUUGGAUGCUGGUGUCAGAUCCAAAGUUGUAAGUAAACCUUCUGAUAUUAUCCGAGUGUGAAUCUUACGAAGUCAACCGAUAAUUCUUCUCCUGAACAAACAUUUGUGAUUCAUAAUGAAUGAUUAGUUGUUGUGUCCUGAACUGGUAAACUUAUGAUCUGAUGAUAGGGACUGCGGAACAAUUAAGGUCUUAAAGCUGCUUUUGCAGCUUUGCCAUCCUUCAACUUGUGGCCACAUAUGGUAGCAGAUAUGAAGAGGGCUGUCAUGGUCACCAUUGAUACUGUCAUUUCCAUUGUCAUGAUUACAAUGCACUCACUAUUCUUUGUACCAUUGCAAAACAAGGUCACAAAAAAAGGAACAGGAUAGAUAAGAUUGGAUUGUAUCAGUCACUAGGAUGAACAAAUUACUCUUCAUCGAAUGGAAUCCAUCUAAAUUUGCUGUAACGAACGUAACGGUGAUUGAGGAUGGUGGGGCCAGAUGUGAUUUCCCCCGUCUUAAAGAGCCACGUGAGAUGGUGGUGAACGCCGAUCGUACGGUAUGGGUGACCGUAACGCGUAUGAAGGUGUUAAAGUAAGCGACUCCGCCCGACAAUCGUCCCCAAACCUUGGUUCCUCCCCGCAUGCAGAGAUGCUUUGCGGGGUCCACCGCUUCUGUGGCCUUACGUGUCACUGGGUGUCUGGGCGAGAAAGUUGUGGGUGCCGAAGAAAAAGGAACGUGAAACUUUGUACCACCAACGUGGACCGGUGGGAACGAACGAAGACCAUUCAGAGAUUAAGACGAUGAGAUACGCCUUAAAGACACUCUCAGGAGUCUCCCCCGAGAAACCACCCGAGAGAAGACACCGAUGCUGAUGAGGUCAUCAGCCACGGCUGCGAGAGCGUUCAGACGUGGCUUUCGUCUUUUUGGGAUCCGAACGCCUUAUUUGUCAUUCUUCGAAAUAAAUAAAAGUUGUAAUGAUACGAAAGCGAAAAAAGUACUAAUCGAACAAUGGCUUAACAGUUGUCAUAUCCGAGACAGAGUUCAGCAUUUUUAUCCACCAGAAAAAUAGAAUCAGCGUGCGAUCUCUUUCCAUCUGUGGGUCCCUUCAGUUGCAUGAUGGGGAAAUAUUGGAUCUUGUCGUUGUGCCACAACAGAAGAUCCUCACCAGGCGGGAAAGGACUCGGGGAACUCACGAAUUGGCCAAUAUAAAAAGUAGCCUCGGCGAAUGGCUUCUUAUUCUUUGUUAUUUUUGUGACGUUCGACUACCGGGGGAAAGCGAUCGGUGAUCUGCGCCCCUAAUUUUGCAGAUCUUCUCGCCUUUUCCUCGUCCUCCUCCGUCGCAAGAAAAGUUUCAAGGGUUCAUCUUCUUCUCCUGUUCGUCUCGAAUCGAUCGGUUCGUUCUUCUUGGGCCUCGGCUACGGCCGGAGGGGGAUUCCGCGACCAUUCCCGCGAGGUAAAGCCCCCGGAAAAUGACUCAUCCUUGGUCAAUGCUUCAAGAUCCGGUGCGAUCUAUACAUUCUUGUUUCAAUCGCUGACUCUAGAUUAUGGAUCUGGCUACUAAGCAUUUCCGCUUCGGUGCGGAUGAGGUAGAUAGGAUCCUAAUUUAUCGUCAAUUCAUGCGUUUGUUUGUCUGUCAGAUCUGGUGCUCGUGAUCGUAUCUUGAGCUGGAAGAUUACGUGACAGCAAAUAAGGUUCUCGAACGAUUUUCCUUUUCUUUCUCUUUUUCUUUUAUUUUGUUAAAGAAUCUCUUUGGGAAUAUAAUGUGUUUUUGUUUCUUCUUAGCCCAUGAAUUUUCUCAACACUAUCUGUAUCUUAUCAUUAUAAUUUGGAGCUUAUUUAUGCUGGGCGAUGGGUUUUCUACUCCCCGUCCUAUCGGAUGAUCGCUAAUCGCAGCUCCGUCAUCCAAUCUCGUGAAUUUAGGCUUGAUAGUUGGACAAGACAAAUGUCGUGGACUUUGUGCCUUCUUUCAAGGGAAUUAUGGUAUAGAAGACAAAGAGGAGGCUGGAAAAAGAAACUGUUGGUGUGUACCUACCAUGAGGAUUAACAUCUAAAAUAUGUUGCUUAUUCAGGGUUUAGAGAAUUUCUUUUAACAAAAGCUUGCAAUUGUUUGCUGAAGGGGAAAUUCAAUAGUAUAUGGGCUGCCUACAUUGUUCCUCCUCGUAACCCUACCUGUAGCAUCAUGCACCUAUUGCCUUUUUUUAUUGGAGAUAUUGCUAGCAAGGCAUAUCAGAAUUAUUAUCAAAGUCACUGGCUUACAAGGCGUGAUUCAUAAUGUACAGCAGUCAUACAUUAAAAGGCUAGUUAUGGAAGAACAAUGUACGGCAGGUGUGGUUUUUUUUUUUUCUAUGGAAUGGAAUUGGUAAAUUUUUGAAGUAUGGUCAUUUGUCUUAGAUAUAGGCAGACCUACUGUACCAUCGGGAAGUGGGAACCACAUAGACUUCUUGGAACACUUAGAAAACUUCAUUUUUUAUUGACCAGCGAAGUUCUCGGAGCUUUUCUUGACCACAUACCGUAUGAAGGCAUUACUUGGAAGUAUUUUUGCUGGAUUUUCAAUAAGACGGAGCAAACACUGCUUUAUCUGAAUCAUAGUUAUUAUCUGAGCCAUGCCCUUAAUUUCUAUCUUUGCAAUAUCAAUUUUCACAGUUCUGAGAUUCUAUGGAGAUAGUUGUUUUAACAAACUGGAGAGCAAUUGCUACGUGGCAAGCUGAGCAUUAAAAAAUUGCUAUAUUUAUCUAAACAGGAGAAUGAUUGCUAAAGAGUUAUGUGGCUCUAAUGCUAAUCACUCCCUGGGGAUUUUAAUAAAUAGAAAAGGAGUCUUGGAUAGCAGGGUUAAGGCAUUUAAAUAUUAUAGGAAACAUUUCAACUUUGCCUUUGGGAACAAGCUGUUGAACCUAGCCAUAUGUUUCUAAGUUGAACUUAUUCUAUAUCUUUUGUAUGUCAUUUGUUGUUACUGAAGUAUGGAAGAUAUGGCGGCUUUUUCUAAGAUAAAUAAGAUUCCAGUAAAUCAUAAACUAAUUUACUUUGUAGUCUUUUUGUUCUUUUUCUUAGUUACUUCUUUCAACCUGAAUUGUUGAUAUCAUAAUCUGAAAUGUUCAAGUCGAUAUUGUCCAUCAAUUUGUUAUGGAUUAUGUAUUUGGCAAAUUUUCUUAAAAUAAAUAUUAAAUGUUAUGCAGGUUGUGGAGUGGCAUAGCAUGUUUAAGCAAGAACCUUGAUAUUGCCAUCACAUGUUAUCUUUUCACAUUAUUUGUUCUUUCCAAUCAUUGGAUGUCUUUGUUAUUAUUCUCUGGCUAAUCUAAUAAUCUGAUGUUAUCCUUGACCCUUCUAGUGAUCAACUUAUACGCACUGCAUUCGUGGAUAACUUUGAUAUUUUCAGGAGUGCAGAACUUGAUUCAAUCAUUUCUACUGUAUAAAGAGUUUGCAUAUGCACUAUGGGCUUUGCCUACAGUUCGAGAAGACCUGAACGCCAAUGACUAAAACAAUGAUGUGCAAGAGUCGAUCUUCAAAAAAGUCUUGAACUGAUUUAUCUCGCUAUAGAAGAGCUCCUCAUCAUCAUUGAUCCAUGGGGGAGUGGAUUAUUGGAGCAUUUAUUAAUAUAAUUGGGAGUAUUACUAUAAACUUUGGGACUAACCUUCUAAAAUUGGGUCAUGAUCAGGUAUUUUUGUGUUACAUGUUCAUGCUUUCCUGUAACUUUACCAUUUCCUGUUAUUGUUUGCUCCAGUGUGAAAAUCCGCAGUCUUUUUCUCCUGUCAUAGCUUGUUGCGAAUAAAUACUGUACUACAUAGACUGUUACUUAAUGUACUAACAUGCCAAUUUUCUUCCUGUGGUGUGUGUCUCUGUGUUUGCAGCGAGAGAAGCAUUAUAUGCCUAGCUGUGAUGGAACCAAUAGCAAAGUUAAUGUGAAAUCAAUUAUACAUUUCCAGACCUGGAGAAUUGGUGAUACUUUACAUUGUGAUAUCUUCUAUUUUGAAAAAAUUAUAUUUUAGCUGAUCUAAUGGUGUACCUUCUAAUGCAGGCAUUCUUUUGUUUGUUUUCGGGAACUGCCUCAACUUUGUUUCCUUUGCAUAUGCUGCACAGGUCAAGUUAAAUAUUUUGGUUUUGUUCAUGAGUUACUGAUGGAAUAUAUCAUCUAGUAUAAAAUGUUAAUCUUGAUAUAAUGUGCCUUUCAUGGGCUUUCACUACUCAAAUCUGGAUUCGGCAAGAGCAUUAUUCACAAACAUGUAUGUUACUGUUGUAAAUGUGAUGUACACUGUUUUUUUGUUGGCAUUUUGUCCACGAUGAUAGUGAUGGGAAGUAGAAAUUUGUGUCACCCAGGAUUUGAAUGUAUUCUUGGAUUAAUCCAUUUAUCUCUUCAAGAAUUCUUUGAUUCUUAAUGUAUUGGCUAUGUUCACAAUGAUUCAGGGCAUUAAGUGCUCUUGAUUGGCUAGUCAAUGACUACCUACCUAUUAGAUCAAAGUUUAAGUUCUUAAGGCUUUACGUAUCACCAUCGUGUUAAGAAAUUUGUGGGUAAUUCACGGUCCAAAAUUUAGGGAUGGUUCACAGGGUGGGAAAUGCUUUUAAAAUUUGGUUUUUAUUUUUGAGGAUUGUAUAAUCAUGACCAGUUCGAUUAGUUUUUUCCCUGACUAGGCUAUUUUGUGUUUUGCGAUUGCAGUCACUUCUUGCAGCAUUGGGAUCAAUUCAGUUCAUAUCUAAUAUUGCAUUUGCUUACUUUGUGCUCAGUAAGACAGUGUCAGUCAAGUAAGUCAUUUCAGAAUUGACAUUGUUUUAAAAAGGACAUAUGCUUAAUGCAGAAAUAUGAUUUCAUAUGACAACUUGUUUUGCAGGGUCAUGGUAGCAACAACUUUUAUUGUUUUUGGCAACAUUUUCUUAGUGUCUUUUGGAAACCACCAGUCACCUGGUAUUAACAUCAACCUAAUUGAGGGAAGGAAUAGUUAAUAAUCAACUAAAUGAUAUUUCUUUUUUCAUUGCAGUAUAUACACCAGAGGAGUUGAUUGCAAAAUACAGCAGCAUGGUUUUUCUUCUCUAUUGCUUGACUUUGUUAUUGAUAGUUGGUGUUAACCAGUACUUUUACAGGUGAGCAGACUAAUAGUUUCUAAAAUUGUUAGCACGUCGAGCCAGCUUAUUUUUGGGUGUUAGAAGCCAGCCUCCUUGUUUGUCUUAUCCUUGUCAUCCAAUCCCUCUGCAACAAAUUAUAGUUAUCCUAAUUACUAUAACAAUCAGGACAGGAGAAGCAUAUCUUUCAGUUUCUGAUCCAGUGAGUUCCUAUUGGCGGACUUUGCUUCCAUUUUCUUAUGCCACUGUUUCUGGUGCUGUGGGUUCUUGCUCAGUGUUAUUUGCAAAAUCCUUGUAAGUUGGCAUCUUAAGAAUUUCAUUCCUUGUUUCUGCAAGAUAAGCUGCAAUAUUUUUUAAUUGAUCUCUAUGCAUACUUUUGAUUUCUUCUAUUUAUAUAUUUGAUGUGUACACUUUCCAGAUCUAAUAUGCUAAGACUGACCAUGAGCAGCAACUAUCAGUUCCAUAGCUGGUUUACAUAUUGUAUGCUGUUGUUGUUCUUUAGCACGGCAGGAUUUUGGGUAAUGAUGUCAACAAAGCCCCAAGUAAACUGUACCUUGAGACUUCCUUACUCUGAGAUGUCUGAUAUAGCUUUUCUUAAAUUCCAGAUGGCAAGACUGAAUGAAGGGUUGUCUCUUUUCGAUGCAAUCCUCAUUGUUCCCAUGUUUCAGAUUGCAUGGACCUUCUUCUCUAUCUUUACAGGAUUUGUGUAUUUUCAAGAAUAUCAAGUGAGCCUUAUCCAUAGAAAUCUAUGUGUAUAUAUAUAUAUAUAUAUAUAUAUAUUCAUUAAAUGAAGCUAACUUAAGUGCUUUAACAGGUAUUUAACACAUUAAGAAUAACUAUGUUUGUAGUGGGGAUGACAUUUGUAUUUAUUGGCAUUUCUUUAUUAGCACCUGAUGAUUCUAAAGGUACCUACAGAUCGUUAAUGGUUCUUCUUUUUAUGCAUCAUUAAUGUUAACUAAAGUAAUUUUGCCAACAACUUUUAGGAAGUGAAACAAAGGAUUCUUCUUUGCCUUCUUCAGCUCAAGACCUUCCAACUGAUAUGAACAGGUACUUGCCAUCCCCUCUCUAUCUUGUUGCUUGUCAUAAAAUUGAUGUUCCAUUAACUGUACGAUAUUAAAUAUUAAUUUGUACAUUACUUCAAAUUACAUGUUGGCUUUCUCUGGAUUCACACGUUUCAUAUAUUGAGAUGAUUUCCAUUUGAAGUUAUUAAGCAAUUAUGGUGAUGUAUAUAAUCUACUCUAGCUGAUAUAUAGUGUUGAUAGCUGGAACUGCAGGGGCGCCAUGCUACUACCAUUAGAAGAUCCUGAAAUAAGUGAUGUGAGGUCACUUGCACAAGCAGUGCUUACUAAAGUGAAGUUUAUUCUGUUGAAGGCAAAGGUACUUUGGCUUUGUAAAUUUUCUUUUGAGAAAACAAUGAGACGGUAUUAUUACUAUAUAAGAUAUUUUGUUAGCAUUUUCUAAUGUUCCUCUUGCAGGCUGCUGGUUCUCUCUCACUCGGUCUUGGUGAGGAGUCAAUUAGCGCAUCUUCGGUACUUGUAAUGCCUAUGGUGUCUUCAAGAACAACAGGUUUCAGAGGAACUAAUUAUGAUCGAGCAAAGUUCAUUCCUCUUAGAAACACAGAAUGGGGUAAACUUUCAAUAGAUGAUAACGAUCCAGAAACGAGGGACACGAGGACUUUGCUGCCUUAAUUUUGCCGGUGUGGGGGGACCGGUGGAAGCGAAUCUUGUUGUUCCUUGAAAUGUUUCUUUCAUUAUCUCCUUGUAACAUGAAUGUAUAGAUAUAUUAAUCUUCCCCCUUUUAACUGUCUAGUGUGUAACGAGAAUGAUCUGUGGUCGGAUACUGUUUCAAAAUGUGUUGUGCCCAAUUUGGCAUUCAGAUUCAUAUGCUGAUUUAACAGAACUGUGGCUUUUCUUCUCUGAACUGCCUAAAAAGUCAAAUCGAUAGAUUGGUCAGAUGAGGUUGAGCACCAUCCAAAUUUAUUCUUUAAGCGCCAUACCACUACUGCUAGAAUUACUCGUGUGCUUCUUUUAUUCUGUAUUGUUUGUACUAAAAUACUUCAUGGCUGCUAUGUACGUAACUGUGCAGGCGCGAUAUGUGAUUUUGCUUAAUCUCUAUCUCCAAGUGCUUGAUCGUUAGAAAUGGCUUGUCAACAAGUAGGCAAAAUUACUGUAUAUCAUAAGAUUAAUAUUCCAUGCGAAAUAUGAAGAAUCCAGUAAGAUAAUUUAAACUAAUAUUUACUAUCAUACAUAAUGCGGAGAUUUAAGAAAAUUAUGGACGAUAUAGGCAGAUAUUUAUCAUCAUAUAAAAGGCACGGAGAAAAAGCAAUAGCAAUAAAGGCUACCUCAGAGACAUUACAAUCAUCAGUGCACUCAAAGAGCGCAAAGAAACGUUGCAAAGGAAAAAGAUGGAUCAGAUAUUUCGGUCUGUGGAUGACCACCAAAGCAACCAAAUAAUUCAAAAGAACCUACUAUUACAACUGUCCUUUGCGGCAAACGACGACGACUCCUCCACGCCUUGGUUUCUUUCACAUGCCAUGGUUGCUUUCUUCCACUUUUUUUCCUGCUUUUUUGAGCUUUCACUUUCCUGGUUGCUCACUUCACUACUUAGCUAUUAAGUUUUCUUUCUUUAGUCUCAGUCAAGUGCAUAGACGUUGCCUCGAUCCUCUAUAAAAACCCAUGUCAUCCCUCGAGACAAAGCCCAUGCAAAAACAGUCACUUGCGACACUCUCUAAUGUUUCCUUCCCUUGGUUCUUAUUCCAAACGCUACUACUCUCUUCUUCCUCCCCACGUCUUCCACUUAUUCUGAUCCGUUUACAAACACAACGUUCAGCACUUCAUUUCCUUUCAGAUCUCUUUCCCUCUCUCUCUCUCUCUUGAUCAGCAUUUCAUGCACUUCCCAACUGUUCUUUGAUCCGCGACUAUCUUCAGUUCUUUACCACCUCAAAGAUGAAGUUCCGGGCUUCUUCCUCCUUUUUGAAGCAGAUGUGCUCCGCGGUUGUGGCCAUGGUGAAGGCCAAGUCGAUGGCGGUGAAGAGCAAAACCAGUGCCUUGAGGACCAGGCUCCUGGUCCUGAGAAUCCUUCAGAACAAGAAGCUCCUCAUGAAGGCAAUCAACCACAAGAUCCAUGCGCUGAUGGGCCAAGAGAAAGGUGAAGGAGGUGCCCAUUCUGCCGAGGAUCACGACAAGGCGAUCGUGCUCUACGAUGCUGCGAAGAAUGCAGCCCUGACGAACCCAACCGACAAGGAACCGAUGUACUGUUAUGACGACGACGACGACGACGACGACUAUCCAGAUCUGAGGCACUCACUCUUUGACUUGGAAGAAGAAGAAGAAGAUGAUGACGAGCUUGGGAACACCACCGGAUCCGUCAUUGAUCUCGUCAAGAACUCCAAGGAGGAUGGUUCUGAGUUCAGGCUGGAGGACGAGAUCGACCACGCAGCAGACGUAUUCAUCAAGAGGUUUCACAGGCAGAUGAGGUUGCAGAAGCUGGAAUCCUUCAAAAGGUAUCAAGAGAUGCUGCUGAGGAGCGUGUAGGAGCCACAGACAAAGGUAUCAAUCAAUCAUAAUGGCUCGUGGUUCUGCUGAUCCUAUCGAGUGUCGAAAAUAAUGCUCGGCCAUUACCAUAUGGGUGGCAUCAUCCUUCGGUCACUUACAUCGGACCUAAUAAGCUCUAAUAUUAUAUGCAGGUGGCACUCAUUUUUCCACAUAAUUAAAAUAUAACAUAUAUAUAUGGCAUCUAUUCCACAAAUGAAACUGUGCUGGAAGAAUAAUGCACUGAUGCAGGAGUCCAGAAAUCAGCAAGUGUGUCUCUGCAGUUUGAUUUGAUGAUGUGUGAAAGAUUAAAUGCCUUUACUUGUGGCCCAUAAGCCCGCUAAGGAAUUCAUUGGGUUGAAGCAUAGUUGGAUGAUAGGUUGAACGGCUAAGCGAGAAACUUCGAACAUCAAAUCCAACGGUGAAAACAUCCAACCGACCAGCACGGAAGAGCUUUCUUUCGAGGAUAAAGAUUCUUUCGAUCCUAAUAAUAUAUAGUUAGGGCGGGCUUAGGACACCAUUCAUCUUAAUUUACAAUGUACAAGACAGAAGAGAUUGCUGCUCUACUACCGAACUAAUUGGAUCUCUUCCUUCUUCUUCUUCUUCGUCGUCGUCGUCGUCGUCUUUCUCCUCCUGAAGCCACCGAAUGGCCCGACUACUCUCCGCCUCUCCGACUCCGUUAUCGCCUCCAGCUUCGGCCUCCACCGCCUCGACCUGCACCUCACCAACGUCCUGUACUCCUUCUCCAACGCCUCCGUGGAGACAACUUUGCUGCUACCGCGGCAGAUCUCUUCCUCCCGGACUCUCUCUCUGAGGAACUCGUCGGAGACCCUGAUCUGAAGCGUCCCCGAGGCCGUCUUGUGGAUGUCGAAUGGCCUGAGGAGGGCUGUCUUCCUCGCCGCGACGCCGGCGUUGGGGCCGAUGAGGGAGGUGGCGAGGGUGACGAAGGAGAGGACGGAGCGGAAGAAGUGGGCGGGGAGGAGGAAGUAGGAGUGGCCAGGCUGGAGCUGGUCGCCGGCGGCUAGCGGUGGGACCUUCUGACCGAUGAAGAAGGCGUCGGAGCGGCAGACGAGGUGGCAGGGGUGCUCCUUCAUGAGCUCUGCCGCCGCAACUGGCCGGUGGUACACCCUGACCCGGCCGUCGCAGCCGAUGAGCCUGAUCCCCGUUGCCUGCGCCGCAGGGGACGGGCUGGUCCGACUGCCGGCCACCACGUGGAAGCACCAUGGAAUCAUCUGCAGACCGAGAGACUUGAGUCCCAUCUAUGCUGCGACGAUCCCACUCCUCAUAUGUACACCGCACGCACGACUCGUCUAUGCUCGACGGAGUCGGAGAACAAAAGGUGCGUAAGAGAAGCACUCGAGAGUGAGAGAAAGGCGUGAUGGGUGGAGUCGAAAGAGGGUGAUAAGGGAUGAGAUCAGAGGCGAGAAGGCAUGUGGGGGGUGGAGGAUUUAUAUAAUGGAUGCGAGUAUGACCAGCGUAGGGUUCAAACAAAAAGCGAAGGCUGUACUCUGGCGAUGGCAGAAUAGUCUGUGAGGCAUUGGCAUCUUUGGUUUUUCUUUUUUGUUUGGGCUGCUGGGGAUGAGAGGAGAAGCGUGAGAUGUGGGAAGAGCUCUUUUAUUUUAUGUCCAGCAGCAGACGACUGGCAUCUCUGUCCAACUAUUGAGCCAUCUCUCUCUCUCUCUCUCUCUUUCCUGUUCCUCUUCUCUUUUGCACAGUAGUUUUUUGUUCUGUAGGACCUCUCGUUCUGGUUUGGUGGCAGGUUGACACAUUGACUGACUUCUCUCUCUCUCUCUCUCCUCUUUCUACCUCCGCCGUUCGAUUUGUGAUCUUAUAUCUGGGACACAUCGUUGGAUGAGACAAGAUGUGAAUCUCUAGAAACCCAUCACACACACACACACACACACACUCUCUCUCUCUCUCUCUUUUACUUUUUCUAUGACGCCGGUUGAGGCCGGGAAUUUAGUAGUUGCAACUCCACUGUCUCUAUCCACGUGCCGAAGACUGCGUGGUCAGAGGAGAAUGGACUCGGUCAACGUGAGAGUGAUAAAGACUCCGCUGUUGUCUCUCGAAUUUGGUUUGGCCGUGUCAAACCAUGCGAGUAGACUUAGACUCACGUUUCCGAAUGGAAUCGUCGAUUCCAAUCCACCGAUUUUUUUUAUUAUUUUAAAAUUAAAAAUAAUUUAAAUUUAAAAAUCAUAUAUAUAUAUAAAUAAAUAUAUAAAUAAUCGUGAGUCAUCGAUUUCGAUUUUGAUUUUUAAAAAUCAAGAAUCAUAAUCAAACCAUCUAGGUUUGAUUUUGAUUCGAUUUAGAAUUAGCAAAUCACAUUCAAUUUGGAAUUAGUGAAUCAUCCUAACAAUUCGAUUUCUAUUUUAAUUUUGAUUUGGUUUUGGUUCUAACUCGAUUUAUAUACAUCAUUUUCUUUUUGUGAUAGGUAUUUUUGUCCACUUACAUAUCCAAAUGGUACAACAUUUGACCACAAGUUUGGUUUUGGUACUGACGAUUCAGUAUAUAUUUUUAAAUAAAAAAUAAAAAAAUUAUAUAUUUUUUUAAUUAUGAAUCAUCGGUUCAGUAAUCGUCGAUUUCGAUUCUCAAAAAUUAAAAAUCAUAAUCGAACCAUCAUAAUUAAAAAUUUAAUUUAGAAUUAGCGAAUCACAUCGAUUGAUUUUUUAUUUUUGAUUUUAACUUAAUUUAAUUUUAAUUCUAUCAUUUUUAUUUUCUUAGACUGAAUGUGAUUAUAUAUUUAUGGUGUGUUUGGUCCACUUGCACGUCCGAAUGGCACACAACAUCUGACCACGAGUUCGGUUCAGCUUGGAGCUGUCGAUUCUUAAUGGCGGAUCAGAUGAAGACGAUGGUUCGAUUCAGAAAGCGGGAUUUGACCGGUUGUCAUCACAUCGCCCAAAGUCCAAGAUAGAAUAAUCCCCAGAGGAGAAGCCUUGGAAAGAAAAUUACCACGACACAUCGACACAAAGUCCCAAAACCCCGAAGCGUUCAAAGCUUCAGAGGCAAACGGCAUCUUUGGGGAACCCAUUCCCAGUCUCUCCACUUGAAUAGUCUUUUGUGCCUGCUUUGGUCCGAUGGGAGGGUGGCAACAACGGCAGGUCUCUGCGUCGCACCCUUACCCAUGCACGCAUUGGUAUGGGUGAAACAGGCACGCAAAGAGGGGCAGAAAAGAGAGAGGGGCGAGGGUGCGUGGUGUGGAGGAGUUGCAGGAAUGUACUCCUGGGACUCGUAUACGUGCGGGGGAGUACGUGCGAAGUUGCGAAUCUUUGCAGCAGACCGGACUCGCUCGCUUGGUCGUGGACGGCACACACGUCGCUUCAUUCUUCUGCUGUACCUGCACAUUAAACUAAUGGCGCUUCCAACCACCAACGACAUCGGAAUCGAAUCGGUCAAAAAUUGAAAUCAGAACCGAUCAAUGAUUUCACGGUUUUGGUUCGAUUCAACUCAUUAUAGACUAAUUAAAUAUUAAAAUUAAAUAUUAAUAAAAAAAUCUUUAAAUAAAUGACAGUGUCGAUUUGAAACCUUAAUCGGCAAUUUCAUAAUCAGAACCAUAAUCAUCUAAAAUUAAUAUGGUUUCGAUUAUUCGAUUUUUAAUGAUGAACAUGUACGAAGAUCAAGAUCGAUGCUUAAGUUAGUAACCGACAGAUAUGACAUAAUUUUAAUAAAUAAUAAUUGAUCUCAAUUAUUAUAUCAAAUCAAAGUAUAAUGGGUUAGUUGGGAAAAAUAUUCUAUGAUAUAAACAAAAUAUUCUACUGUCUUUGUCUCAUCAUUUUUGUAAUAUUCUCAGAUCAUUAUUUUGGACUGACUUGUUAAUUUUAAAUAAUCAAAAUAUUCCUCUUAUUUUGGGUUUACAUACAUGAGACCUGACCUGAUCAUUGAUCAGAGUGCAUAUUAUCCGAGUUGCCAAAAAGAGAAGAAUCAGACAAUACCAAUUUAUGAAACCAUCAUGAAUCAGUGCUUGUUCUAUGUAUUACAACGCCAAAUAGUAAUAUAGUUUUUCUACUGGACAAAAAUGUUCAAGUAAUAUGCAAGACAAGGGAAUCUGCAUCGUCGUAAAACAAACAUGACAUUCUACAACAUUGAAGAUUUCAAACAAGAAGCUUUCUGUAGCUCCAGAGAAAUUAUUCCCGGCGGCAGUCGUAAUCGUAAAGAACAUGAACAAGGUUGACGUGAAAAGUCACAAAUAUAGAUCGAACGAAAAGUUCCUGCUUUCCACAAAGUAAAAUGAAAACAAGAUAAGGUGAGUUUUAAUUAAAUCUACGGGCACAUACAAGCUUGGUUUCCAAAUAGAGAUAAGUUAUGGGUGAUACCUUAUUUAAAGCUAGGGGUGGAAAAAUGACUUCUUCAAGUCUUGGGAUAAAAAGGAAAACAAAAUCCAAAGUGAGAAAUAUAGAGGUAUAAAUGGCUACUCAAAGCGAACUAUGAACUACAAACUCUCUCCCUAUAUCUCGGAACCUUAUUUUUACCCUCGCUCGCAUCAGUUCUCUCAUCGACGGCCUCCAGCUUUCCUUGGAGGUGGUGGCGCUAACUCCUCGUCAUCAGAUUGGACAUCACCAUAUUGCCAAAUCUUCAGCCUCUCUCGUUUUGCUUUAGCUUGAAACUCUUCCAAACCAUCAAGAGCUGCCUUGCGUUCUCUAGUGUCCCAUUUCUUCUUUCGAUCUAGUCUAGCAAGCCCUUCCUGUGUUCGUACAAUUCAACAGAUCAGAAACAGGAUACUAACAAAACUCGAGCUGAAUGUGCAUGAUAUAAUAGAAUUUUGAAGUAAUCAAGAACAAACAGGUCGAAUAUCAAGCACAAACAAGGAUCAUCGGAUCAGAACAAGCCAGUAGGAUGAGAUAAAGUCCUAUAUGUUCGGUUUCAAUUUGUAAAAAGCAAUAAAUAAACAUGGAUGUCUUUUGGAGUCAAGUAGGAGAAUUUAUAUAUCUAGAAGAGGGGGAGGGGAGUGCAAAUGCAAAUUGCAUUUCUAGUCAUUUGUUGCUUCCGCUGUAGAAACUUGGUUAGCGACAUAGCACCGCCGACCAGGCCUUGGCGUACUGGUUGGUUUGCAUCAUCUUGAAGAGAUUCUAUGCUUGUGGAGGUGAUGGCGCCCAAGUAUUUUUUAGACAAGGGACCAUCCAGUCCAUUAUUCUCUAGAAAAGGAAGUAAUUCGUGGUACAAAUUAAAAGCCAAGAAGAUAACAUUCCCAUAGAACAAUUGUACAUUGUCAUACAGAACCGUAAAGAAAUCCAAGGAAUUUGCAAUUUCAGUUGCUACCAGACCAAACAUAUCAAAUAAAUGUUCUUCCGUAGACAGCGUCAGAUAAGUACAAGAUCCAAUCCAUGAUUGACACCAACAGAUCAAGUUAAAUUAUUAACCUACAGACUUAUUAAAGGUUGAACUAGUUUCGAUUUCUACUGGAGUUAAUUAAUAAGAUGACUAAAAAUCAAGUUAAUGAAAAAAAUAUAUUCAGAUAAGAUCAGAUGCUCAAACCUGUAGCAUGGCAGCAUUAAUACUAACUUCAGAUCCAACAUCAACGAGAGUCACCACCAACACCGUUCCAGUUCCUUGUCCUCUGGCUUUCCCUCCUGAGGCAUCUCUUUCCUCAAUCAUAGCGCUAAACUCUUUUGUAUUGUUCAAUGUACAUUCGCUCAAAUACUCUGCAGCUUCUUGGCCAAAAUCGUCCUCCAAAUUAGGCACUUUUAUGUAUGCAAGGCUGCAAAGUUGAGCCAGACCAGGUGCUGAUGGUAUUGAAGAAUCGAGAGGUCGUAGGAGACUAUAUGGGACAAUUUCUUGGUUUCCAUAAUCAAUAUAGAAGACUUCAAACGUGUCAUUAUGUGAUUUCGCGGCCCCUCGUGGUCCAUUUACAAUCUGCAUGCGUUGAAGUAAUUACAGAGGCAGACAUCAAGAGACCAAUUAAAAAAUUCUAAUGAAGCACAAUUUUCAUUCACAUACAGUCAAGGACUAGAAUACAGGGUGUGGCACAUGUUUCUAAAAUAAAAGCUUAAUGUUGAACAAUCAAUAUUGCAAACUGCAAAACAAGAGUAUUUACCAUCAGAAGAGCCAAAAAGAUAGAACUGCAAGAACUGACAAGUGCCCGUACUCUUACAUAGAACUGAAGCACUUAAUUAAGAAACUAAACUCAUUUUUGACCUUUACAAAGGAACAUGCUCUUGAUGUAGCUUCCAUUUAAUGUCUCCCUGUAACUUGCUGGUUAGUUUGCUAACAAAAUGGAACAAUGUAAUGUUUAAUAGUUGUGGCAAUGCCAUUACAUACACUGACCAAUGUUGUACACUACAGUGCUCGAGGACAGGUCCUCUUUGAUGGCCUCAUCAUAGAGGUCAAUGAGGGGUUAGCAUAUGACAAUUCUUAUCUUGAUACCCCAAAUCGGCCAUGGGUCUCAGGGAACCUUUUCUGAAGUGCACAACAAAUUUGAAAAUCAGGAUUUCCCUCUGAUCUCAGGUUCUACAGACGCUGAGCCAGGAUAAAAAAACCUAAGUUACAUGGGGUUUUGUAUCUAGCAUCACAGGUACUCUUGUCUUAUCUUUUUUAUCGAUGGAUACAGGUUAUAGGAUGACCUAUGCAAAUUUCACACUGUCCUGUCAUCUUGCUAUUUUGUAUUGCCACCCUGUCCUGUAUCUUGACCCUAGAACUUUUUUGUCGCUACAAGAUAAUAAAAAUGUGAUUGACCAAUCUUAGCAAAGAUGACAACAAUAUUUCACUUAAAACAAAUAACACUACCACGACAAUUAAGUCCGACUAACAAAUAGAUGAAAGAAAUCAUAGCAAUACUUAGGACGUACCAUGGCUCUAUUCCAGGAAUUGUCUACACUGAACUGAGCCAGAACUAUAUCACCCUUUGCAGGAUUAAAAGAACCAAUUACUGGAGCCUCUUUAAUGUUUAAUGCAGCAAGCUGCUGUUGAAUGGCAGCCACCUUUUGAUCACCAACAGGUUGGACAUAAAAUUUUCCACCACCAAGGACUUCUGUAACUACGACCUGCAUUGAUCAACAAGGAAAGAUGUUCAUCUUAUAGGUUAGGUGUCAGAAUAGCAAGCAAGUUAGAUACUGUUUCUUGAAGAUCACCUUGAGCAUUUCUUUCUGUUUUGCUUCAGUAGAGGAACCAUUUGAAACUUCUUGUCCUUCAACAUAAUUUUCCCAGAUCUUGCAAAGGAAAGAUAAAAGUUAUAUACCAUGAUAUACAAAGCUUCAAUAACAAAUAACUCAGCAACCGUAACUUACUUUUAGCUUCUGGUGCUUUGCAGACUGUUCAGCCUGUGCCAGGAGGUGAGCAUCUGGAAUCUUGUCAGAGCCAAAGGAGGUUUGAAGUUUAGCCAAUCCAGCUUCCAAGAGGAUAACAGCCAUAUUGGUCCUUGAUUCCCAUAAGGAGCCUAAGAAUGUCCCAGCCCUAUCAACUGUUUCCACCUCAAUCUGUCCAACAUAACCAUGAGAUCUAUCUUAGUAAUGAAAAUGGUAUGCCUCAAGCUAAAUAAAUGGACAAUUGGCACCGAGAUCUAUCUUAGUAAUGAAAAUGGUAUGCCUCAAGCUAAAUAAAUGGACAAUUGGCACCUCAACAUCCCGUUGCAAUAUCUUCCUUCUCAUCAAAGCAAUAGCUUCAUCUGAAAAAGGCUCCUCCCGACCAGGACACCGAACACCAGAAAAUGAAAAUGCAAUAGUGCAUGUUUCUUUAGGAAUCAGUAACUUAAAUCGAUGACCACUGAGGACAUAUUCAACAACAGCAGCAUGCCUCCUACUCCGUUGCAGAAAAGGAAAGAAAUCUCGUGCCUUUUUUGCAGAUGCCUGUGCAGAUAACAUGAAACUUCUAUUACAUACCAUGACAAACAAAGAUUGUGUCAUGUAAUAAACAAUUAUUCCAUUUCUGACCAUUGUCAAAUCAGUUAUAUGCAUAACUGGAGGAUCCUUGGCAGAAUGAAUCCCUUUCCUUGAAUUAAUCGCACGAGAUUCAGCAGCCAGUAAAGCAUCAUAAUGAUUUGACCUUUCUUCAAAAUCUCGAUGUCUGACUAGAGUGGCAAAACCACGUGAGACAACCAUCUCGGCAACAUUUGUUACUCCUGGUUGGUUAACAGAUGGAGAAGAGGUUUCAUCAUUCUCACUCUUCACAAGGAAGACUGACCCAAAAUCCAUGACUCUAGAAUCAGCUGAACUAGAUACUACUGUACUAGGUCCAUCAGCCACACCAACCUUCCUAGAAUAUUCCAUUGACACAUUUACCUGGCAACAAAUGCAUUAUGAGACUACUAACUUUAUAUAUCUUCUCCAUCCAAUACAUCAAGCAAAUAAGCAUACUUGGUGGCCAAUAAGACGUGUACGUAAGAAUUCCCUGGCCUCACGGGCAUAGGGUACUGGCUUUUCAUCUCGCCGAGGAUUUCCCAUCUUUGGUGCUCUGAUGCUUGAAAGAUUAACUCUACGCUCAGCUAAGGGGCUGCCGUAGGGAACAGCAUCGUCAGCAACAAUUAUGCAGUCUCCACUCACAACCUCUACUACCUAAAGUUGACAAAUCAAUUGCAGACUUCAAGCACAAGAAUGAUAUGUAAUUGGCUUCAAGAAGACCUGGGUAAAAAAACGCAUACUUUUCCUGUAAAAUUUUGGUCGUGAAUUGCCUUCGAAUUUGAAGCUGGAGGCACAUAGUUUGUCCAAAUUCUCAGGCGAUCCUUCUUCGCCUGAAGCUCAGCAGCCUUCAAUUUUCGUUUGGCCUCAUCCUCCAUCAUGUUUGCACUCCAUUCCAGAAAUCUAGCAAAACCCUUUGUAGGAAGGAAAACAAUGUUAGCAUUCAGGACAUAGCUUGUAUUAUAUAACGAGCAUAGAAGUAACUGUUAUCAAAAUGUUCAGAUGUAUGAGUAAAUAUAUUAACGCAGAACUAGAAAAUUCAUACGCAAACAACAGUUACCUUCCUAACCAGACUUUAAAGGAAAUGCCCAAAGCAUCACUCCACAGAAUGACAAGAUUAAAAAAACAAGACAAUGCAUAGAAAAACUGAUAUGAUCAUGGUACCAUCUUUUAUUUGCAGCUUCAACAACAGGUUCUUGCAAAAUGCAAAGAAGUAUGCAUACCAAGUGUAGUUAAAUGCAUAGCAAAGCACAAUGGCUUAUCACCUAAACAAAAUCACUCAGACAGAAAACAAGGCAUAAACCUUGUAUAAGAAUAAGCUGCCUAAAAUGAAUGCCAUUCAGGUGAUGAGACUAGUCUUUGUAUUAUUAUUAAAUUUCUGUUAAGUAUAGGAAAUUCCAAGAAGUGUAAAUGGGUAUGCACACUCCGUUGCCUCUAGAGGCCUCAAUUCCGAGCUUGAAAUCAUCUGGGAAGAUUAUUUGGCCCGGUAUGAUAUCAUUGGUGAGGGUUGACAAUAUCAACAGUGGAAUUGACUAGGCUACAGGUCAUCAGAAAGUCAAGCCCCAUAAUUAGCAAUCUAAGUAUCAUAACAGAAAACAACUUAUAAGUUUUCAAUGCCCCCUCCUUCGCAACAAACCCACACAAAAGAAGGAAAAAAGAGACGGAUUUUUUUUUAUAUCUGUAUUCUGAGCUAACAAUCUAGCAUCUAAUGCUGUAGAUAUCCUUAUUAUUAUUUCAUGAACAAAAAAUGUUAACAUACAGGUUUAGAAACUACCAUAGAUGCCUUAUUACUCCAUGGUACCAUACAAGUUUAAUUAGAGACCAUAGGGAGGAUGCACUUAAAUAACAAGGAUAUUUAAAAGAAAAUUAGUCAAUGAAGAGAAUUAAAACAACACAACAUUAAAAAUGUAUAAUAUCUUGGGUAAAAGUAGGUGGGAUAAUAUACGUUCACAAUUGUUCACAAUGUGAUUGCAUAAAUGUGUAUGACAUAUUCACAUGCAUAUUUAAAUUAUCAUAUUUGAUAUCCAAAUAUAUCUCAAGCUGUUGAAUUUACCUAUAUUAAUCCACAAAAGACAUUAAUUGAUUUGUUCUUUCAUUCAGUGUAUUCUCUUUUUUCAUUCUUAUUUUUUCUGUUCACAUAUGUAUCCUAUCCAGACAAUAUGAAAAAUAUAUUCAAGUAAUUUUCUUAACUAUUUGUUGAUAUUGUGGCUGAUUAUAUAACAUUCACGUUAAAUCCAUAAAUGUCAUGUGUUAUUCAUAUCUACCAUAUGCAUUUUAAGCAAACAUGAUUACUGUUUAUGUAGUGUCUGUCUAAAAUUCAUAUCCAAAUUAGCAUUUGGUAAUUACAAGAAAAUAAAGAACUGGCCUUUCCAGAAUCCGAUCCAUUUCCAUCCCUAGUAAUAUUAUCACUAGAAAAGUCAAAUUUGUGCCACAAUGUUUCAGUGUUCUCACAUAAGCAGUAAUUAUUGCUUGCUAUAUGAUUGCAUAACCUUACAUACAUUUUGCACAAGAUCAAGAGCAAGAUCUUUUGCAGUAUCACCAUCAGGAUAAUAAACUGAGCCAAUUAAAUUGCUGUAUUUGUCUACACCUUCUAGCACGAUCCUGACCUGCACAGUUCGAAAUUCAGUGGAUAUAGGUCAUAGAAAACAAAUGAAGAAAAAAUUGAAUAGAACUUUUGGUACUAAGACGUAGCUAAAAACACAAAAAGAACCUACAUCUCUGCUCAAAACACGGAUUUCUGUAAAGUGUUUGGCUUCCCUCCCAAAUGGAUCUGGUGCAACUUCAGUUAUUGACAGCGAAGAAGCAGCAAGCCUCUGGGCCGAUGUUAGUGGCUGCUGAGAUUCACCUGAAAUUUCUCCAUUUGUAUCAUCAGUAGACACCUCAGUCACAGGAAUUGUGUCAUUAGUGGGCCUUCUUCCCAUUGAAGGAGCCUAUAAUUAAGAAAAACAAUUUUGCCACAUAAGUAAAAGAAGGGCAAAAAGUAAACAUUUAUUCCACAGUUUUGUUCAGAAAAUCACAUUUAAAAUAAAAUAUUCUUGGUCAUGUUUUAAAACAUACCUGAACCCCUGCAACAAAAACUUGAACAAAAUGGAACUCAGGAAGGAGGUAGACACGAAGAGUGCUGCCAUCACGGACUUGCUCAACAAUGCCCUGCAUGGGUCUGCCCUUGUUUGCAGCUAGCAGCCCCAUUGCAUCGAAAUUACUAGGAUCACCAAUGGCUGAAGGUGGUAAGUUUCUUACAGCUGACUCGGUAGCACCAGGUACCUAAAAAAGUUGAUCAAUAAGAAACGUGUGAUACUUCUCCAAUCUUUAAUUAUCAUGCACAUGUUUUAAUGCUUGUUGGUUGUUGUCAUAUAUCUUAUAAACACAAACUAAACUUUUAAAAAAAAGCAGACCCUUAAGGUUUGAAUUUCAAGAGACAUUAAUAUCCACAGCAAGCCCAAACUUAGAUGGUCUCGUGGUUUUGCAUAUAGGAUAAACAAGCCAAAGGAUGCAAACACGUAUUUUGUGAGAAGAGAAAAAGAUGCUAUUCUUUACAGGAAACAGUCAAAAGAAACAACAAAUAGAACCAGAUAAAAAGCAAGAUAACCUUGCUCCAGCGACCUAAGCCCUGUUGCUUGGCUUGCUCCUCCAAAUGCAGUAGCUCUGUCAAAUAUGGGCUUGCUUCACCUUUCUGCUGGCCUUGUUCCCUAACCUUAUGAAGAAAAAAAUACAGAUAAGAUAUCAGCAGUGAAAUUGUUGGAACAGCAUAUAAAGCAAAGAACAAAGAGUGUAAGUUACUAGUACCUUUGCCCAUCCUUCAGAAACAACUAAGUAGGCGACAUUCUUAUCUCCAAGAAAAACAGUGCCAAACUCUCUCCCAAUAGAUGGAACUGUGUAGUCCACCUUGAAAGUGACAUCCUGAAGAAAUCAAGACUAUGAGGUGUAUGUUUACUUCUGAAGAAUAUAUAAGAUACUCGGAAAUCAAGGAAGAUUCCAAUCAAGGACCUUUCCAAUGCAGUGUUUUCUCAGAAACUCCCUGCUCUCCCAUGCAAACGGUUCAUCCACACCACCCCGACGAGCCUAAUUCACAAUCCAAUAUUGCAUUAGGCAGAAGUAGUACUUCUCCAUAUUAAGGGGAAAAAAAAAGAAAACUAUGACAUGUUCAGGCAUUGAUUUAAAGAAUCAAAACUCUUUGUAAGAUAAUUACUGAAAAUUUUCCUCUGAAAUGUAUGUUACCAUAAUCAGGAUGCGCUGAGAACCAAACAAAUCACAGAUUGGUCUGUUUGUCCUCAUAAUUAAUGGUCAGAGAACAAUCAUAUCCAUACUGUACACUCAUACCAGUCUAGGGGCGAUCAGAGAAGACAAAGUGACGGUCUUUUCGGGAGGGAUCUCUGCUUUUGUGCUUCCCAUGAUAAGCAGAGAAUCCCCUGAAGGAACGGCCUUGACUUUUCCUCUCAGCCAUCCUGUUGCUCCUACUGUGGACGCCAUGUCGAGAGCUAAGCCCUAGAAUCAAUAUACACAAUUUCACGACAAUGAAAGUAGAAUAUGAUCCAAGAACGACCGACAAGCCUCUUUAUUCAUAACACAAUUCUUGUUUCAAUCAUGCAAUCAUAACCCGGCAUAAAAUUCUCUUGUUAAGCAAACAACCACCAAAAGAUGGCACCAACAACUCAUCUGCCGUAAUUAUAGGCCAAAGAAGGGAAGAGAAGACAGGGAAAUCAUGCUAAGUCAACCAAAAUGUAGUGUUGCCGGAGAUAAUACUUAAUUAAGUAACUAGCUCUCGUGUAUUUCAAAAAGAUCUCCUUUUCGUGUCCAACGUCUAGCAAUAACAUCUUCAUAGGAGCAUGAGACGCGCAUAAAGUUAUGAUCUUUUCACAGAUCUGGAGAAGACAAUGACAUUUCAAUCGAUAUCAUACAAAAUCGCAUCAGAUCUCCAUAACAUCGAAAAAAAUAACCAUCCAUGGACCCUUGAAAGGGAUAUCAAAACGAACAAAAAUAGAAACCAGCAGUGAAGCAGCAGAUGGGCACCAGUGGAAGCAAAACAGCGCAAACAAAAAGAAGAAGAAUCGCAAGAAACGUAAAUCCUGUCAUCCCCUCGGAGAAAGAAGAAAUCUCUUCGCGAUCAAAGGACAAAAAAAAAAGUUAGUCUUUUCCGGAAGGGAAACGCCGUCCAUUUCGUAACAAUCGAUAAGAUCCAGAGAGGAGGCUUACCUCGAUCCGAUCUCGACAGAGGGCAGGUCUCCGACGGAUCGGAAGAACCCGAUAGGAAUGCUAGUGAUCCUUGGGGAUGGUCUCGCUGGGAACUCCGCCGCGACGAAAAACGAACGAACGAUGGUCCGGAAAAUUUAGUGUAUAUAUAUUUACCCAAAUUCGCAAAUGGCAUUUAUAUUCCUCUCAAAAGAUCGGAUGAAUCUCCCAAUUUUCAGUUUUAAAUGACGUAUGUUUUGCACUAUUUAUAUAUAUUUUUUAUUAUUAUUAUCAUAUAUAUAUAUAUAUAUAUAUAUAUAUAUAUAUAUAUAUAUAUAUAUAUAUAUAUAUAUAUAUAUAUAUACGCACAUUAUGCGCACGUAGACAACUAUUGUAAUGGAACCAAUAAAAAUGAUAUUCUCAUGAAUAAUUUAAUCAAAUAAUCUUGGGGGUUAGUAUUUGUCAAUAUAGAAUAUUUAUAAUGUACUAAAUGUACUUCCCAAAUAUUUAACAUUCAAAAUUUAAUCGAAUAAAUUUUGAAGCUGGUAAAAACAGUCUAAUUUGUUGAUGGUAAGAUCAUAGAAAGCAAGCAAUCUAUGUUAAUUGUCUGAAUAAAAAUAAAAAUAAAAAACCAACAUGCAUGCAUAUUCCUUCAACAAAAUCAUCCUUAUACGUUCCUGCAACUCUAAAAUAUUUGCAGUCUAUGCUAAUUGUCAGAAGUGAGUUAACAGUUGAGAUGCAUUUAUAAUUAUUAGUAUAGCUUUAAAUAUUUUGAAUCGUGCACUAUAAAAACGUUUAAAAUAUUCAAAACGUCCAUCCAUUCCCCCUUCUAAUCUGAACCGUUCGUCUAAUUAUUUUAUUAUUAUUAUUACAAAAUCAAAAUGACAAGAUGGAUGAAACGGACAGUUUUGGAGGCACGCUUUGUUUGUUUACGUGACGCAUGCGAGACCAAACCACGCAGGUGGGUCUCAGCGGCAUCUGCGACGGUGUUGAAGGUAUCAGUGUAUCUUUGUUGAAGAAAGCAACAGCAAGAUCAGAUAAAAAGAAACCUUAUCUUCCAUCACCCUUGACGAGGGCAAUAAUGACGAUGGGACGCAGGUUAACGUCUGCGCCUGGAUGACGCCUAGCGUCUCGAUUGACCGAUAACGUCGGACCAAAACAGAUCGGAAUGUCGACUGAGGCACAUUAACAUCCUGCUCGAGUCCGAUCCUUCACGCCACGUCAACACUAGUGUCAGACGUUACUAAGAGUACGAUCAUGCUCCCUGCAAGCGGGCACAUUAGGUAACGGUAACUUUCCCUAUAAAAACCCUCGCACUCAGAAAGAGGAGGGGAAGAAAAACAAAGAUAAAAAUCCCAUGUGACUAUCCAUUGACUUGAUCGUCGGAGAGGUCGGAUUGAGCCUCCCGACCCGACCUGUGUGCAGGGACGAAGACGGAACACCUCCCACCGCGUGCCCGGGCGAGGAGUUCCCUUCUAGAGGAAACGGCUGUCCCUUUGCGAUCGGACCAUCGCAGUCGACCACCUCAAUAGUCCCAAUGGUCGUUCAUAAAAAUCCUCAAUCAUUCGGACCCGAACAUAACCGUGUUGACCCCGAGGCCACGACUUAAAGUUGUUGACACCAACAACCCUCACCUGCCUUGCGAUGUCCAACCUUCUGUUUUCGUCAUUCCACUUGAAAUACAGUCCUUACAACUUAAAAAAAAGAAAUAGAAGCUUGAAGAAUGAUUCCCGGAUGGAUGGACCGGAGAUGAGAAAGAACAAAAGUUGGGGUGUGCGGAUGGACGUAUGGUGACCUGAACUGAAAGUAUUGUGGUGCGUCGGGGUGCGUGUGCGGUGGGAGUAUGAUGACCUGAACUGACCUGACCUGACCUAAUCAUACGUUUACGGGUGGAGUUCGCUCGACCGUCUAUCCGGCUAGUUUCACCAAGUUAUCGAUGUCCUGAGCACGAUCAAAACGGUGGACCAACCAAUGAGCACCGUUUGCCACGCCAAUGUCAGUGGUUAAGCCUAAACUCUAUCGAAACUGAAACGGGUAGAAUUAAUCACAGGGGGUAAAGUAGUCAUUUGACAUGACCUCAAUUACGUGUUACCCUUCUAUUGUCCCCUUCACUUCGAUAUGCGUGUACAUAGGUCCGCGGCGGUGAUGAGGAAAUACCCUUUCGUACCCGGAUUAAAUCUCCACUGGUUCCACUUGCUUUUUCAUUGGAAGAAAUAACGUCCUUUGUCGGGUCCCAUUGAUUUUGUCCAAUCAGAACCAUGGAGAUAAAUGGUGUACCUUUCACCGGAACGGGAAACAUUAUUUUCUUAUGCAAGUUAAGAAGCAGCGGCAGGAGGAGAAGAGACGGGGAACUUCGCACGGCCAUCGCGCGUGAGAAAUAGCGGCCCGAGGAGAUCGAAGGGAAGGGAGGAAAGUAGAGGGGUAUGGGGAAGGGGUGGAUCCGGCUGGGGGUGGCGGUGGGAGCCGUGGCGUUACUGGUGGGAGCGGGCCGGCGGUACGGGCUCGACGCGGAGGCGGCGCUCCGGCCGUUCCGGCAGUUGGAGGAGCGGCUCGGGAUGUGGGCCAUCCCGGUGUACGUGGCGGCCCACACCCUCACCCUUGCGCUUUGCCUCCCCUACGCCGUCUUCUUCGAGGCCGGCGCUUCCCUCCUCUUCGGUUUCCUUCCCGCCGUCCUCUGCGUCUUUUCCGCCAAAGUCCUCGGCGCCUCCUUAUCUUUCUGGAUCGGACGGUUUGUCAUCAAGCCCCCUUUGUUUCAUUCUUUCUUUACCUUCUUUGUCUUGAUCCGUGAUUUGGUUGGUAUCUGAGAUGAAGGGGAGGUCUUGAUCUACAAAUGCUUGGCGCUCUCUUAAUCUUUUUCUUUGGUUCGAUGCGACUGAUAAGAAAAGAAUGAAGCUUCCUUGUUCGGUGACCAAACUUACUAUUCUUCUUGUGUGCAAUAGGCCUCUCUUAUAUUGAAAUUAUAAGGGUUUAGUGGGACAUUAUGCUUGCACAACUCAUCAAGAGAAAUUACCGCCUCAUUGUAGAAUCUUGAACCUGUUUUUUGCUGAACAAGAGGGAACAAAGGUGACCUAACUUGGUGGUUUGAAUAAUUUUCCUGAUAUAUAAAACAUGUUUUGGUCAUUGGUUUAUUCAAUUAAAGCUAUUCAUUCCAAGAUUUGCCCUUGAGGAGUUUGUCCAUGUGCAUAUGUUACCUUCCGAACUGUGGCACAAUGACUGCUUGUUUAGAAAGAAUUGAAGCAAUCACACUGUUACUCGUCUUUUCACAGGAGCUUGAAUAUGUUGAAGGUCUUCUUCUCCUCUAUAAUGUGGAUUUGAUCACUAAUAUCCCUGAAUUCUUUUAAAGUGAUAUGCAAAAUGAUCAUAGGCGGCCUACUUUGUGACAUGGUAAAUCUGCUGGAUGAUCAUGAGAUAUGUGAGCCAAUAUAAGGUCAGAAAAGUAUGCUACACUAUGCAAAAACACAUCUGAAGAGUGUACCAAAAACUAGAUUUCAGGGAUGGAAACUUUUGAAGAUCUGUUACUUGGUAGAGUUUGUUCUCAUUAGUUGGAUAAUUUUCAUGAUGGUGCAGUAUUCUUAGUUGUGCAUGAAUACUUAGGUCUAGGUAGCUUCUAAUGGAAUGCCAGAUAGGAAUUUAAAAUCAUUCUGAUUCCUGUACCUAAGAUCUCUAGAAUUCAAUAAUUGCAGUGGCAGAAUAUGUCCUCUGCCUGGGUCUGAUCCUCGGUGAUUUGAUACUCAAUAUGCAGACAAAGUGUCAGGUGAUGGCAUGAUCACAGUUAAUUGGUCAUUGGCAAAUGGAACUUAUCGGUAUGCCUUGUAUUACAUUUUUGAGUCUAAUUUUCUUCAUAAGAAAAGAUUUGGUAAAAGUUUGUUUUCUUUUGUUGGUUGCUUUCUUUGAUACCAUCCUUGCAGCAUGAGAAAUUUUAUUAGCUUUCAGAUGCGUAUUUGAAUAUAUUUAUCAUCCUAUCUUAAGGCAUUGAGAAGCGGAGGAUGCAAUUUUGAUGGAUCACUGUUCUGCUAAGUAUUCAAGUUUUGAACUUUUAAUCCUGUUGAGCUGGUGAAAGAGCCUUUAAUAAUUUGUUAUUUAUAAUCUUAAAAAAAUGAUAUUUUUGAUGGUUAAGUCCUAUUUUUUAUUAGUUGCUGUCGAUAGCUUAUGUACCAUCUGUCUUUAAAUGUCUAAAAUUCUUGAUCUUAAUCAGAUUUUUCAUUGUUAUAUUGUGCAUUCAGUUUCUUUUUUUAUGUAUCUUUUUCUUGCAUUAAUCUAUAUACUGUUUAUCUUUCCACUGUAAUCAUUACAACUUCCUGACAUGGACUGGUGCCAAUAGACCCUGAUGAGCCAAUCAUUGAGGGUUCUGCUGGACUUAGAAAGUGCCUGAUAAAGAAGCCCAUCAGAUGAUUUUUAACAUUGAGUCUGCAUUUGUGAAUGAUAUCACUGAAUGGAUUGAACCUGAUAUACCGCUUAAGUAAAAAUUCCAAUUUCCCAUUUUAGAUCACACGAUAUCUACAGUAAUGACCUUCAUAUCCUAAUGGUGAGGUUUCUUUAAUUGUUGUCCAGGGCAAUUUUUAGGAGCUCAAAAUCAGCAACAGAAUGGGCACAUAGCAGCAGAUACUUCCAUCUCCUCGCUAGAGGAGUUGAACGCGACGGUUGGAAAUUUGUGCUUCUUGCCCGGUUUUCUCCGUUGCCAUCCUAUGUCAUCAAUUAUGGUUUGGCCGCCACAGAAGUUGGUUUUCUUGUUGACUUCCUUCUUCCUACUGUUACCGGUUGUUUGCCGAUGAUCCUCCAGAACACAUCUCUUGGCAGCCUUGCCGGUGCUGCUGUAGCCUCAACAACUGGCUCUAAGUCUCAGGUCUACUCAUACAUUUUUCCGUUGCUUGGAAUUGCUUCCAGUAUUCUCAUAUCCUUGAGGAUAAAGAAGUACUCAUCUGGGUUUGCCGAAGAAUUUAACCAACCUGUAUCGGCUAAGAGCACCGACGGAGGGAUCAAUUCUGUGCAGUCAUCAUCCGAUAAGGCUACUGAAAAACCCAGAAGAAGAAGAAAAUGAAUUAAUUUUAUUUUCAUUUUCACUUUUUCUGCAAUCAUCCAGAGCUCAUAAUAUUUAGUGUCUGGACUUAAGAACAUAAGUUAUCAAGGGCAGUUUUCAUGCUUUUAUUGAGCCUUUUUUUUUUCCAAUCUGAUAUCGUCUUGCCUUGCAAGCUAGUCUUUACUGUGAAGGAUGCUUUGCAAUUGUAUCUCCAGCUAAAUAGUAGAGGAAUGUUAGCUGAAAGUAUUUAGGAUUUCUUUGUGUUCUGAUUGAUUUGGUGUGAGGUUUUUGUUCCCGUAGAACAGGAGCUGAAGAGGAACUUGGCUUCUUUUGUGUUUGCGUCAUCAUGAUGGAGAUACAGUUGCUUGAAGAUUUCUAAUCUUGAGGUCUUGUCUGUGCCCAAAAUAAAAUUUCUAUCCGAACUAAUGGGCUACUCUUUUCGAAUUUGGGCCAAUGGGCCGACAGAUUGUAUCUCUCGUGCCUGUGUCAAACGCAAUGUACACGAAUCUCAAAGUCGAGGCGGCAGGUGCUAUAUAAAUAGACAGAUCGAAUUCGAAAGUUGAAUCUCGCGGUCGAGGCUUGCGAGUAAAGGAAUCCAUGGCGCUUCGCCCCUUCUUUCGCCGUUCUGUAGUCGUAUGCCCUCCGCUGCUCCGCGAUCGAAGCAGGUAAUCCGACCUAUCUCGCUACGAACCUUUGAUCGUUUCGUUCCAUCUCUCCGAUCAGAUUUUACGAUCUUUCCCCCUACUCAGACGUGAUCUUCGAUGCUGUAAGGCUUCCUACUUCCGAUUCUUGCCAUGGAUUCCCGUGACCGAAUCUUUCAUGGAGGUAUACUACGGUUUGGCUUCUUGUAUCUUAGAAAAAAAUUGCGUACUGCCUAUCAUUUUUUUUGUUUCCAUGCGUCUGUAAUCUCAAUCAAAACUACAUAUUGUCAGUAUGCAACUAGUUAAACAAUGUCAUGAUCGCUAUUUCGUAAGAUCAUCGGACAUGAGUUUGGUUCUUGAAGAGAAAACUGAAAUAUAAAGACUCGAUACACUAGUUGCUUUAUAGGAUAUUGAGCGGAAGGCGAGAAUGUACGAUCGAGUGUUGCUGGCUAUAUCGAGGUCAUUGUAGAGUGAGAUCGUCAUCCUGAUUCAUAUGAAUCUUCGGAUUCUUACAUUUGCAAUCAGUCUAUCGAGGACGUGUUCGGGGACAAAAGGGAACUUACGUCAUUGAUUGAUUCGACUGUGCAGUCUGAUUUUAAUAGGAUACAUGGUGUUGGAAAAUUAAUUAGCUGAUGCAAAGGGCUAAACUCAUUCAUUUCCUCUUAACACUUGGAUCUGUCAAGGUGCCCUUAAUUUUUAAUCCAAAGAGAAACAGAGAGCAUGGCCUAAAGUGCCUUUGUUAUUUUGAAUAUCCAAUGCGUUCUCAUAUAUGUGAAAAUUAAACAGUACAAACCCAUCUAUAUACUUAGGAGAAGGAAGAACUUCUUAAAGAGGAAAGAGCAAGUUUAAGAGAAUCGUUAAUAUUGAAAGUGGUUCGAAUUGGUUCAUCACUGGAACCAAUUCUUCUCCAAGUCAAAGUGGUUCAUCACUCGAACAUCUUAGACAUUACGAAUCCUCCAGUGUCUGAGACCAAUAAAUAAACCGUUUUACCUCUUCUUGGAAUUCAAAUUUUGGUGUAAAAGGCAUCUUAGGCUAUUUAACUGAUUUGUCGGAUGAUAGAACAUGCAUAUAAGCUGGUUUGUGGGAUACCCAGUCCAACUAUAUGAUCUACCAUGAUCACAGUCAACUCAGUAUCAGAAAAGAAUUUUUUUGCAUCAUGGUGUGGAAGAAACUAUAAUUAUAUGGCAUUUUGCAUUGAUGUCUAUAUAUCUGUAUAUAUAUGAGUGCAUGCAUAUAUUCCUGAGUUGGACACUUUUUUAAAUCUUUGGUUAUAUAUCUUAUAUUAUCAAAUAAGUGACUUCUCUUCACCCUUUAAGGUCCCCUAUGGAUCCAUACGCUGAAAUCUUGACUCCCCUGACAUUGAUUUUAAUGUGCUGUAAUAUAUAGAAAUUUUGUUUCUUUUUUUAUUUUUCAAAUUUUCAUUUUGGCCCUCUUGGUCCACUGAAGACAAAUGUCCUUAAUGUGCUGUAAUCCAUAUGCUGAAAGCUUGGAUGCAUGUCAUAUCAUAAUCUGAUUCUUAUGUCCGUGUCCAAGUAUAGUUUAUCCUUAAAGAUGAAGACAAAUGAUGCACUUCAAAGUCUAAUAUUCAAACUUCAAAUUUGUCAGAUCAGACUGAUCUCCAUAUUUGAAAAGUCAAGAUUUUUCUAGAUGUUGGAAGCUCUGAAGCAACAAAAACAUACAAAAAGUGCCACAAUCUAAUCGAGCAACUUCUCAAGUGUGAAGAUAAAAUAAGCUAUUGUACUACUUGUUGUGGUUAAACUUUUCUAUUCUAUAAAUGCUGUAUUUUCUAUUAUAAAUGUAUUGUAUCUGUUAUGCAGAAUUUAUGAACAAUAAAAACAACGAAAAUCAAUAUCGAUUUUUAAGAAUUAGAGAAGAAAAAUAAAAUUAUUAGAAGUGUUAGACAAAAUGAUUCUAGAAAAUUAUCUUUGGAGAUGAUUACGGGAAAAUUUUAUCUUCAGAAUGCUUGUCUAACAUGUGAAGUAAUAAUAUCUUCAAUUCAACCUUAUUUGUAAACCAAAAUUAGUACAGAAUGAAGAAAAACAGCAUAAAGAUUGUAGAUUCAUAAAGAAAAAUUUUAUUUUUCACACCAGUGGCUUAAUAGGCUAUUUGUAGUUAUUCAUUGGUGUGCCCAACAAUAUACUUCCUUUAUGGGGCUUCUUCAUCUGAAGGGAUUCACCUCCAUGGAGUCCCUUUAUUAGAAAGGAACAGCUAUUGGUGUAAGAGGCAUCAAUAUUGUUCAUUAGAUGAACCAAACUUUCUAUUUCUUUUGUUCUGUUCUUAAUUAUAUAAAAACAUAACAUUAUUUCAACUCAAGCUUUGGUCAGCCACUAAGUCCAAAGGUUAAAAUUUCAGCUACAUGCCACUUUGAGAGGAGCUGAAUAUGAAUUAUGGAAUCAUUAGUUUAUGUAAUGUUUAUGCUUAUACAAGCUGGUCCUAAUGUCCACCAGAACUUGGAGUAGAUUAGGAAUGAGUUUUUACAGUCUAUUUCAUCGAACAUGCUAAGCAGUUCUGCCUGCGCUUCUCAUUGCAGCUUGAUGUCUAACAGUGGGGCAUUCAAAAAGUAGUAUCCACAAGGGUUGGUGAUCUUGGUGCAGAUUCCAAUCUCAUGUGUUCGCCACAUUGGGUGAGCGGUUCCUAGAAACUACAUGGCUUCCAAAAUGGGCAGAAUGUUUCCUCACCACAAAUGAUGUUUUCAAAUUUUGAUUGUGGACUUCUCCCUUAGAUUGCUGUUCUUCUUUAAAAAAUAACAAUAUUCACUAAUUCUACUUUUCUUUGUUGCUACAAGGCACCUGGUCCACUUGGAGAUUACCCAGGAAGGUGAGCCUGGAGUUAGUUAAUUUACCCCCUUUGUUAUUUGGUCUAAAGCAAUCCAUUAUUCACGUAGGUUUUGGCCCUCCACUUAUCUCCAAGAGAUGAUUUGAAGCUUUAUGGAAAGCAGCUUGACAUCAAUUUACUGGAGUUCAAGAUUCAGGUAAAUUAUUUUUCUUUUGCUUGACAAAGAUGUCGGGCCAUAUCUUACCUGCUUCAUAUCCAUCCAUCCAUGAUAACAAAUCCUAGGAUUCAACAUCAAAAAAUGAUUAAAAAAGCAUAGUUAUAUGACCUGAUACAUCCUGGUGAUCAUGGUUACUUUUUGCGUUCUGCAAUUGGCUUUUGCUACGGGCAGUGCGUGUUAGCAUCAGCCGUGAUCUUUUUAUAACGAUUUCAUUGUCUGUUCUUAGUGCUCUUAUUCACGCGGUGCUUGGUCCAUUGGGGCUGUCACCGUCGUGGAGCAGUAUCGCUGUAGGUCUUGUAUGACGCAGAUUGAGUGCAUGAUCUGGCUCCAGGUUAGGAUGCACUACUACAUGUGGAGCAGGUCAUAAUAUGCUUCCUAACUCCGUUGUAUUUUUAGAGCCACUUGAUGGUCACUGGUUUGCGCUUUGACCUCGACAUAAGUUAUUAUUUCUCGGCACCCGGUGGGCCUGUCAUUGUCGUUAGUUCCAGCUUCGGUUAGGAAACCACUGAACUGAGCUUAAGGUGAAUCUUGUCAUUUCAUAAGUUGAUGCUGGAUAAGGUUAUGAUUUUGAAAACUAUGUAAACAGAGUUAAACUAGGUUUUGUCAUGCCAAAGUAGAACAGUACUAUAACCUAGUUGCCUUAGCGAGUCAGUUUAAAUUAUUGACUGAGUUGAGUAGUACAUCGUGCUCAACCUAACGCGUGAAGUCGGGUGAUCACAUACAGCCCAAUCAUGACGCCAACUUCCUUUAGAUUAAUAGAUUAUAGCCAGUAAGGCGUUAACUAAGCCAUUCUUUGACAUGUAGUGCUCCUUCGAGUCUGUGGAAAAGUUGGGGAAUAUUGUUCCUUCACAUGUUGCAUUCUUUCAAUGGGCCAUAGACAAUUGCCAUGUUCCCUUGAAGCACCCAUUGGAUUUUCUUUGAAUGUGGACAUCUCUUUCCGUUCUUUGAAGGAGAUGAAUAGACACAAUUCACCGUUAUGUAGUCAGUCACCUUUAGCCUUUGAAUACCGAUUGAAACUGUGAACACAUUGUCGAAAAGUAUCUUUUGCCAGCCGAAUUUUCCUUUCUCCUGCUUACUCUGCUGUGCGCGUGAACUAUUUUCCAUGUCAUCGAACAACUUAGAAUAUCUCCCAUUAUUAGAGAUUGAAAAAAAGCGAAGGACAUGUCUUAUUAUACAACACAACAAUAGCUAGUAAUACAACAGGGGCCAAAAUAAUUUUAAAAAAUAAUGGAAACAACAAGAAAGUAGACCCAAUGGGGCUGGCAAAUACUAUCCUACCCUACAUACUCUCCAGUGUCUGCGGUUGUGUUCAUCUACGCAGCCACUGCCCUCAGAUGUUAAAGGAGAAACCAACAGGUAAAUAUCUAUACAAGGAGGAGAAAGUGACUGUGUGAUGGCAUCGAAUGGUUUCAAAAGUUCUCCUUGUGGAAGUCGAACUUGGUGCUGGUCUUCCUUGAGAAAUCCGUGGCUAGCUGGCGCAGCUCCUUCGUCAGGGUCGGGGCUCCACAGUAGAAUACACCUGUUUAAAGAUGAGAACAGGUAUUAUUAGUGGCAAUAAACCAAUAUGACUAGGAUAUCUGGUUGACCCCAGGACAAGAUUCUCUCUACCAGAUAUUUUAUAACGAGAAGCAGCAGAAAAAAAUGUACAUGCGCGUGAGCCACUUGGACAAUAACACAGGUAGGCACUAAUGUGUAUGUUUAUCAGGAUUCUAGCUUUAUAUUACACAAGAUGCAACCAUAGGACCAUUAUUACGUGAUUUGGUCCACAUGGCAUAGUCAUAAUUGGGAGUAGAAAACGGAACAUGUUCUUUGUUUUAUUAGGCUUAUUCUAUGGAGAUGAGAGUUGGUGGAGAAAUCGUUGAGUACCACCUAACUGCAAAUAUCAGAAACGUAUUAGGACUUGCAUGAUACUAUAUCUGUGGUGUACCAUGUGAAGGAAUCGUCAAUUCACCUUAAUGGAAUUAACUAUUAGACUCGAUUCGUCUAAAAACUUAAAAUACAAGACCAAAACCUUCGACUCUUGUCAGGAUCUGUUCUUUUUGGAUGGUUAAUAGUCUCAAAUUGUGGUGAUUGCGUUACCGUUUGUGUACUUGAGGAUUAAAAAAAUGUGUAAGCGCGUGGAGGAUGAAAGCCGAGAGGAAUUAAUUUAAAGCAAUGUUGUGGGUUUCCAUGCGGUGGAGGUCGAGAAGGAAGCGUACCGAUUCGUUGAUCGCGAUGGUUGAGGGCGAUGCGUUUGUAGACGUUGCGCCAGUUGGGGCGGGCGAAGUGGGACUUGACCCGAGUGCCCGACACGAUGUCCACCCCGUGCUUGGCGUGGUUGAGGGACUGUAGCAUCACGAUAAGGGCGGACCGGGCGUCGCCCUCCUCGUACACGCUGGUGCAGAAGUUGUGCAGCUCGAUCACCCCCUUCUUGUCCGUCUCCGCCACCUCGUUCAUCACCCCCCGGAACCACUCGAACGAUCCCUGCUCCCGCGUCACCCAGUAGAAGUAGGCCCUCCUCGUCUUGAACGACGACGUCGACGACGUCACCGGCCUCCGGUGGCUGCUACUGUGGCCGCCGCUGCCGCCCUCCGACGCGUCGCGAACGUCGUCGCCGUCGGACGACUCUUCGGGGUCCCAUUGCUUCAUGUUGUUGACGAUGUCCUUGACGAUGCUGAUGAAAGGGGUGGCGCCGAUUCCCAGCCCCACCAGCAGUACGACCUCGUACUUCUUGUACUCUUGGGCUGGUGCUCCAUACGGCCCAUCGAUCAGCACCUUUGGAAAGCUGCAUAUCCAAUUAUUCGUUAGGUAUCUCCUAAUAUCUUUUUCUCAAGCAAGCAUAUUAAACGGAUGUAACAAUUCGUAAAUGGGUCUAAUAAUUCAUGAGAACCCACUUUGAAAUUUUAGUAAAUUAAUCAACAUACAAUGGAUGACAACAUAAUAUGAAAAAACAUCAAACAUGGACAGCAACGCAGAAUAAUGCUCCGUCUAAGAGCUUCUUCCAGUAAUUUUCUCAUCGCAGGAGGCCCUCUUAGGUUCGCGAUGCGAGGCUGACAGAUAACGACUUUUGGUACAUGUGGUAGCACGAGUACCAUGUGCUAGUUUCUGUGAUUAUCAUUACAAGCAUCAUUGUAAUGAUUAUUACAGUAAUAGUUUGGGAUACUGAACAACGUUAAGGAUCAAUUAGUUACUCCUACCUACAAUAGACCAGGCUAAAGGACGACAAGCACAGUUCAUGGUGGCAAAAAGAGAGCCAGAAGAGGCGAGCAAGUAAUAACUUACAUGAGGUUGUUGUUGCUGUCGUAGUCUGAUCUAAGAAGACCGCUUUGGCCACUUGUUGGUGGCUGACACACCUACAAACACCAAAUCCAAACCCACUUCAUCUUCGCGCCCCCCAAAAGAAAGAACAAAUAGAAUACCUAGUUCGCGAAACAUUCGCUCGCAGAUCACUAAAUAAAGCGCUUAAUCCUGCCAUGUCUACUAAAACUAUACCGGCAUAGCGCAGACAAUAGGCAGCACAGUAUACCUCAGAGAAAACAGCUUUGAGCUGCCUGGUCCAGUCCCCCAGGGUCCGUAUGUGAACACUGAUGUAGUCGUCUUGCGGGGCUGACGUGAUGGAGAAUGGGUGCCUGUUGUCGUUUGGGAAAAACAAACAAUCAAACAACAGACUUGAUUAAGCUCAUACGAAAGAAGUCGCUGUUAAAUUUGACAGGUACGGUAUGGAAAAUUUAGUGUGCGGUCUUUACCACUGGAACGGGGAGACGGCUGCGCAAUUAACAAAUAUGUAUUGACCGCUUCGGUACUUGAAGCCCUGUGGCUUCGACAUUUGAAGAGUCAGGACGUUGCCAGGGUACACCGCCACUUUCAAUAUCUUGACCGCCCUCACGCUCGAUCGGAGCGCUCUGAUCAACCGUUCGCUGGCGUAGAGGAUGAGCGGAAUCGCCAAAUACAUCCAUGUCUGCAAACGUAUUAACAUAGAGAGAGCGUGUUAGUGGAUCGUCGCUCGAGGAAGCUGAACUCUGCUCGUUGUUUUAUGUGGGUUAUCGAUCACGAACCGUCUUCUUGUACCAUUUCUUCGAGAGGUAGAUGAAGGUGCCGUGGAUGAUGAGGAGAACGUAGACGAUGACGAACAGGUGGUGAGAGUACCAGAAGGCGUUGAACCCGGUGAGGCGUUUCAAGGGCCAGGGCAGGUUGAGCCGGUUGCGGCGGAACCACGGGGUGGCGAGAGUGAAGGCGAUGGCCAUCAGGACCACCAUCACCACCCCCGUCCACCCCUCCGUGCCCUUCACGAACCACCAGAAGUUGUUGGGCCGGGUGUCCCCGAAGAAGUGCUUCAUGGGAUCGUACUCUUGGUCCGUCGCGUGCAGGAGGCGUGGGAAGUCGCACGUCAAGUGCGAGAUCGCAUGAAGCCCGACACCGAUCGCCACGCCCACCGCGAUCACCUGCAUCACGCAGCCAACGACACGAAUCCCAGUCCUAUUCAUUUUGCAUUCAGGAGCACAAGAGGCCGUAGAGCAAUUCCGAGGGGGGUCGUCGUCGUACCUUGUGGAAAUUGAGGUUGUCGUCGAAGGGCAGGACCUUGCCGAGCUUGGUCUUGGUGCGGAGCCAGGUGAUGGUGUUGCGGCAGACCGGGAGGAGGAUGAGGGCCAUGUUGAACUUAAGGGUCUCCGCGCCGCCCUUGGCGACGCAGACGCAAUAACCCAUGACAUGAAACACCGCGCGCCGCCGGUACUGGACGAACUUCCACGCGAAGAGGCUGGCGCAGACGCACAGCCACAGCACCAUCACCCACACCCGCUUCCAGUGGUCCUCCAGGAAGUAGCGCCCCUCGUGGUACCACCGGACCAGCGGGUUUGGCUCACGGGUCGGCCUCAGCUUCUGGCUCAGCAUCUGACUCAGGUUUCGGCUGUUGGUGGUGCCGAGCUGCGCCGAGUAGCCGGGCGCCUCCAACAGGAGCAUCUCCAGGUUGUAUAUCUGAGGCCAUGAUCACCGUCAGUUGGUUCCCCAGAUCAUCGAGCCAACAUAACCCAAUCUACCCGAGCAUUUCUCCGGUGCCCCGCCCGAAUCCUUUACCUCAAUGUAGCCAAGACUGUCGGGGUCCAGUUCCUCCAUGAUGAGCGCCGCAUACUCCUCCGCCUGAUCUUGAAUCUUGGAGAGAUUGUUGGCUGAAGCGCUCAGCGAGAUGAUCUGUUUGCCAACCACGUAUAUGCUAAGACUAAAAACUAGUAUAAUUCAAUAGUAUAAUGGUGCCAGAAUUAAGUAAUAAGUGAUACGCAAUCUGCUUGUCUUCAUCAGAAGGCUACAGAGACUUUAGCUGAAUCACCUCUCUGACUUCCUCUUCCGUGAUUCUUCCAUCCGCGUUCUUAUCCACCCUGUGCAUCGGACGCCAAAUCAAUGAUGGCAUGAUUUUUUCUGUUUGUAAUCUCUAUAGAACUGAGGACUGGUUUGAAUCGUUACAUAUCGAAGAAGGUUUGGAGCCUGGAAUCGAAGCUCUGUUCCGAUAUCUGAUCCCAAAACUCUCGCAACUCCGCCUUUGUGAUAGUAUCCCCUUUGAUCUGUCUCCUCCUCGCCAACGCAUCGAACAGCUCGCCUGCGAACUCCUUCGACUCUUUCAUUCCUAUCGAUCCCAACUUUCAAUUUUUUUUAGAUUGUAAAAGCAUAGAAAACAUACGAUUUUUGCUUUGGAGGAAAAGAAAGGAAACAAUAAACGGGAAUAGAUGUGAAGGCGGUUGAAGAGGGGAAACGAUCGGAGUGAUGGGGGGACGGACCGAUGCACUGAGCGAACUUUGAGCGGUCGAGGGUGCCAUCGACGGCGAGCUCAUCGAAGCGGCGCUCGACGGCAGCCCAUCCGGCGACGCCGUCGGCCUUGCUGAUGAACUUGAGGCCCUUGAGGGCUUGCGCGGCGGCGGACCUGCUCCGGUCGAACUUCCCCGCCCCGGGACGCCGCCCGAACGACGCCAGCCGCCGCAGCUCCUGUGACACCUGCCGGAACCUCCACGACGCCGUGCGCAUCACCGACGCCCCGAACGCCGACCGCCUCUCCAGCUCCCGCGCGAGCGCCGCCACCUCCGGGUCCCCGGCGGCGUCCCCGCCGGCCCCCGCCGCCUUCACGCUGUGCACCGCCACCGUGUCGUCGCGCACGUCCAGGGUGAUCUCCACGUACGUGUCAUCGUCGUCCUCCUCCUCCUGCUCCUUCCCCUUAACCGACCCCACAGACGAAGGCGAGCCCGGGAAGCUAACCCGGGCGCCGCUCUUCUCCCCCCUCUUGUUGAGAGGCCCGCUCAAGGGGCCACUAAAGGAGAUGCGGCCGCCGGUACUCUCCACCUCGAUCGCAUCCGUCGGGCUUUCGCCCCCUCUCCCCUCUUCGGUCGGGCCCAUCUUCUUCAUCCCCGAUCAGAGAUCUGCGAGCCCCAAAAUCUCCAAUCCGACUUCGACAAAAACCAAAAAUAGAAGAAUCCCACUGACGGAUUACACAAACGAAGUAUGGCGUUCAAAUUUACAGAGAACAGACAAGAAGAGGGCGGGGAAGAAGUGGAGGAGCAGCUAAAUCAUGGUUUAUCCUCCCGCCUUGGGUUUAUAGUUACGGGAAGGAAGGAGGGAAUGGCUGCUCAUCCCACUUUUUUCUGUAAAUAAAUAGCUGUAGAUUGGGAAGAGUAAGCGACGGAGCUUUUACGCCUCUAUGGUUGGGAAAGGGGAGAGAGAGAGAGUCGGCGGUUGGUGAUGGCAAUCAUCCUCGAUGGGGUGUGUGUGUGUGUAUGUUCCACCGUUCCCUUUCCGAUGUAAUUCUCAGCUCCAUGUGAACCCCAUCCGUCGAAACAAACCACGAUAGUUGGGACCCAUAGCGAUAUGACCUUUCCCGGUGCAAGCUUAUCUUCGCAACUCCCCUGCUACAACCAUCGGACGGGUCACAGAGUGCGAUAAGAACAUAGUUGAGAUAUGAAUUGUGUGCUCAAAAUAUAUUUUAAAUAUAAUUUAAUCUUUUAAAAAAUUUUAAAAUAAAAUUAUAUCUAAUUUAAAUAUUAUACUAUAUUUCAUAAUUUACAAGAUGCUCUCAUAAUUUUUAAAAUUAUAAAAUUAUCAUAUGAUUUUAUCUAAAAAUAUAUUAUAUAUUUGGGUCAUAUGAAAUUUUUUUAUAAGAUUACAUUUAUUUAUAUAUAAAAAAUAUAUAUUCUUUAAAUAAAUAUAAAAAAAUAUUAGCACAUUUAAAUUAUAGUUUUUAUCUAUUAUUUAUAAAACUCUAAAAUACGUUUAAAAUAUAAAAUAAAAUUUCAAAGAGUAACGAUUUUACAGGACGAUGCGCGACCCACCCACGUGCAGUGCGGAGAGGUGAUCGGAGAGGAGGGAAGAAGGCAAUGGGCCCCCGGUAACGGGUCCCGCAGCGGGUGGGGGUACGGACGGAAACAUGCGGGUAUCGAAAUGUAGCGUUCGAUUUGUUAUUCCUCGAUGUGUCAAGGAUCAAAGUUGGAGGGUGCUGACCGACGACCGGUUCAGGCUUACUUCCUCGCGGUGUGAGACAGCCGCUAUUUGCUUCGCGUGGAAUCAUGAUGGUUUUAGACCGCACGAUCGGAUCGUAUGUUGCUCGAAUAUACUUCAUACCGUCUUGCGAUGUCAGCGAUAUUAAUGGGGCGCUUACGCUACGGAAAGGCUCGAUGGCUCGGUCACUGUUACUGACUGUAUGAUCGAUCAAUCGCGCUUUCCAGUCUUAAUUGGUAAAAGGAGUGUGGUUCGGUUUGUGGACUGCUUACCAAACAUGAGGAAUGUCUUAGGUGGCAUUAGCCUCGAUGUCGAUCUCUUAUCCUUCGUGAGGUUGAUAGGGCCCACCAAUCUAGCAUGUACGUCGGGUCGACGAGCCAACGGGGAUUGGAGGCGAUAAAAUGGGAUUACGAUUACUGCGGUGCUUGUGGUGGUCCGGUGGCUUGCAAUUGCGCGUGAUGUGAUCGAUGCUUUGAUCCGCAGCCGUUCAUAGUGACUCACAACUCAUACUCGAAUGGAAGAGGAUUGGACUCGCGAUUGGAUCCCCUGCGAAGGCCUACUCGAAUCUAUCGGACGACAUCGGUUGAUUUAGAAUAUAUUAUUUCUGCACCUUUGGACUAUGGCCUAACACUUGUCUCCUCUUAGAUGGAUAGACUAAACUAAAGUAUUGCUCUCAUAUUUCAAUCAUCGCAUUCUCCUAUCUUCUCGUAUAGUAAUUGUGAGACAACUCAAUUUCCUCAUCGCUUGUGUUUCUACGUGUUGGCUCGUAUGUGGUUAACUUCCUCCACGUCUUCAAAUUGACUCACUUUUAGUUUUAGAUCACUUAGACAUUUUUAUUACCGUAAUAAUAAUAAUAAUAUAAUCAUAACUCUCAAUUAUUUGAGAUCGACUAUAUAGAUCCCUUAUUAUCAUUAAAAUCUAUAAAAAAUUAUCUAUCUAAUUAAAUUUAUUUAUAUUUUCUAUUAAAAAAUUUAAGGUCUUUCUCUACCUACCAUAAUAUCACUAAAAUAAUUAAUAGUUUCUAUUAAUUAUCUCAUCCGGAAGUCUCCUUUGUAUAUGUCCAUAUCAUCUUAAAUAAUUUUUUUAUCUACCGAAGUGAUACCCUUUUUUAUAUCUUUCCUGAUAACUCCAUGCAUCUAUCUUAAUAUUCUCAUCUCAACCACAUAAAUUUCUUGUAUAUAUUUUUUUUCUUAGUUGUUCAAUACUUAUAUCCAUAAAGCAUUAUUAGUUAAUUAUCAUAUAUAUUUGUUUAAUAUAUUUAUGAAUAUCUUAUAAUACAUAUUUCAUGUGAUAUAAUUUGUUCUGCAAAUCUAGUGUUUUAAAGUUAUUAUGUAUUAAAGUUUAUAACUAAUCCAUGCUACAUUUGAUGCCAUACAUACAUUAAGGAACUUGCAAAGUGUUUACCAAAUUCAAUAACUUGGUGUACUAUUAUUGUAUAAUGAAAUACGAAUUUGUAAGCCCAAAAAAACCAUCAUGUAUUUGCUUAACAAAACAAAGAAAGAAAGAAAUAAUUUCUCAUAAGGUUUAACGAAAAUAUCAUUACAAAAUUUGGAGUAAUAUUAUAUGUUCCUCCAAAAUAUAUCAAAAAAAUUAUAUUGAAGUCGGGUUGAAAAUAUUUCAGAAAAUUAAAUUUUCUAGAAUAUUUUAAAUAUUAUUUUUAACAUUUUAAAGAAUUUCAAAAUGAUACUGAUGUCAAUUAAAGUUACAAAAUAUCUAAUAUAAUUGUUAUUUGGAUAUAUAUUGAUUGCUAGAGGGAUAAAUACAAAAUCAUUGGAGGGGCGGCUUGUGAUGUGAAAGCCACACAUAUCGAACAGAAUGUCCAAUCACGAUUCUCUUAUGAUCACGUUCAUCUAUGUUCAUGUCUCCUGUGUGAUGUCCUGUUGCGAUGUUGGAGGGAAAACAACCUCGGACUCUAUCCAUAAUCUAUGUGCUAUGAACCAAAACGUGAGAUAAGAGACUUGGAACUUUGGAGCUUUGGGUCACUUCUUCGACGACAAUUCCACGAUGAUCACACCCGCACAUCAUCACAAGAGAGGUUGUAACACGUUCUUAUGUGUGAAUCGGACCACCCCGAUUCUUGUUUCAGUCAGCGCAAUAGCACUUGGGUUGUCUUCUUCUUGACUCAUCUCAUGUUCUUGCAGCGUAUGUGAGACACUUGAAGUUCUCUUAGUCAACUUUUACCGGAUUAGACUUCCGUUCUCAAAAGAGAAAUCUUACCCGCAUCUAAUUGAUGAAUCGAGCAAGCAAGACUGCUCGUUUCUGCAAGUCGUGGAAGGUGCGGGAAGAUCAUGCACAACACGCGUUGCUUUCUCAGCACCAUAAGUCAAUGCGAUGCAGAGUUUUCACGAGGAGGAAACCCUCACUUGUAUCGAUAGGACUUCUCUCCAACACUGUUUGAUCGGUAAUGCAUGCACUCGGCCUUUAGUUCGUCGCGUCCUUGCUGAUGUCGAUAGCCUCCUAACACUGACCUUCACUGAUCUGACGAGCGCCCACUCGAGUUUCGAGAGCCUGUCAUGCAUGCAUGCACAUCGGACUACAGUAACGAAUGAUAAACAAAGAAGCAAAUNNNNNNNNNNNNNNNNNNNNNNNNNNNNNNNNNNNNNNNNNNNNNNNNNNNNNNNNNNNNNNNNNNNNNNNNNNNNNNNNNNNNNNNNNNNNNNNNNNNNNNNNNNNNNNNNNNNNNNNNNNNNNNNNNNNNNNNNNNNNNNNNNNNNNNNNNNNNNNNNNNNNNNNNNNNNNNNNNNNNNNNNNNNNNNNNNNNNNNNNNNNNNNNNNNNNNNNNNNNNNNNNNNNNNNNNNNNNNNNNNNNNNNNNNNNNNNNNNNNNNNNNNNNNNNNNNNNNNNNNNNNNNNNNNNNNNNNNNNNNNNNNNNNNNNNNNNNNNNNNNNNNNNNNNNNNNNNNNNNNNNNNNNNNNNNNNNNNNNNNNNNNNNNNNNNNNNNNNNNNNNNNNNNNNNNNNNNNNNNNNNNNNNNNNNNNNNNNNNNNNNNNNNNNNNNNNNNNNNNNNNNNNNNNNNNNNNNNNNNNNNNNNNNNNNNNNNNNNNNNNNNNNNNNNNNNNNNNNNNNNNNNNNNNNNNNNNNNNNNNNNNNNNNNNNNNNNNNNNNNNNNNNNNNNNNNNNNNNNNNNNNNNNNNNNNNNNNNNNNNNNNNNNNNNNNNNNNNNNNNNNNNNNNNNNNNNNNNNNNNNNNNNNNNNNNNNNNNNUACCUAAAAGGAUAAUUGGUAUGUUUUAGCGAAUUCAUGUGCCAUGACUGAGGACUACGGGUCGAUGUCCGGUGUCGUCAACGCUCUGGAGCAUAUCUCUUGGUCGAUCGAAGACGGUUCCAAGGUCGGGCUAGACCAAAAGUCAGGGUGGUCACAUCUUCAGCAUGAGAUUGAGUUGCCUUGGGAGUGGUCGUGUCCCUGUGCACAGACCCGGGUCAGGGGAUUACCAACUUAGGCCCCUCAUAAAUUAAGUCAGUGGUUUAUCUCUUGUCUCUCUCUUUUUUUCUCUUCUAGCCAGAUGCCGAUCAUGAGCUUUUAUACUGGUGCCCGAAAGUCGAUCAUACGCGAAUAUGGCAUGACGAUCAAGCCCCCGAGUGAUAAGUACGUACCUUCGUGUAGCUGCCUUCCGGUAUGCACGGAACAACGUCAUGCAGCGUCGUCCCGAGUUUUUUGAAACGGGGCUUGCCAAGGGGACGCCUCCCCAUACGAGCUUCAGCUUGAGGAAGGUAGCCCUUAUGUUGAAUCUGUAGGGGUGUAUCCAAUGUGGCGUCUAAUCCAUAUCUUGAGAAUUUAUGUUCGUGCUAAUGCCAGAUAUGGAUCGUGACGUGAAUCAUGAAAUGGCCAAAAUAUGAAAUAUGCCUUAUAAAAUUAAAAGAGUCAAUUUAUAUAUAUUAGCUUAGAUCUAUAAUCUAAAAAUUUAAGUUUUCUAAUUGAAUCGAUAUCUAAUCAAUAUCGUAUCGGAAUGUAUAUCAUCUCGGCAUCUAAUCCAAAAUAAUAAAAAAAUUAUAUAAAAAUAGUGAAAAAAUAUAUUAGGACGCUGCUCUUUCUCUCCUUCAAUUCUUGCUUCGUUUUGCACGUAUUCGGGUUGUGUUGGAACGGAAGAAUCAUGACCACGAGCUUACAUACAAAAGAAGUAAUUGUUUUGUGCAAGUCUCGUGUCAUUUAAUUCGGGUUCAUCUUUAAGGUCGGGAUUGGUAGGUCCAUAGACAAGAAAGGCUGUGGACCGAUAUGUGGACAGGAUGAUUUAUGAGAGGAUCCAAAGGUCGAUUAUAACUCGUUGACCACUCUAAGUUUUAUGUUGGAAAUACCUUUGGGACAAGCAUCGGAACAAUCAUAUAAUAAACUAAACUUGAAGAAAGUCACUUUAAUCUCUCCACCUACGCAUUUGUAGCAUUAAAAUAUAUAGAAAAAAAUCUAAGCAUGUGUGACUUCUAAAUUGAACACUUGCGAUUAUUUUUGCAAAAGAAAUAUUUUCUAAUGGAAUCUGCCAAAGCUAAUAAGCCAACUAAAAGAACUAUAAUAUUUCAAAAAUAAAAGGAUGUAAUACUACUCUUUAAAUACUGAACUCGAAGCCUGAAGGAAUCACUAUCAACUAAGAAUAAUCGCUAGAUUCGAUUUCAUUCUUUACUCUAACAAGUCAAAGAUGAAAGCCAUCUCCAAGUCCUUACCUGCUUCAAGGAGAAAGUAAAUGGAAGGUUAGACAAGCAACCUCUUAGAUGCAUACAAUCAUUAAUUUCGGAGGUAAUCCCUUCAAACUUAGCUUCAGUUUUUUAUUGAAUCAGACGUGGUAGCAUUAAUUUUAUUUCGUUGACAAAUACCUUUCCACCAUCAUCAUCAUCAUCGUCGUCGUCAUCGUCGUCGUCGCUGAUUAUGGAUAAACCAUUUGUUUCGUAUUAUUAUUAUAUAGUCAUAGGAUAGAAAAGGACACCUUCGAUUAGUCCAUAUCGAUCAACUUUGACUAGUUUGCUUGUCCACGAAAACAAAGAGAGGAAGCAAUGGAGUGUGCUCACAAAACAUAUCAUGUACUUUGAGAGACACCAUUCGCGUCGUUCGGUUCCCUACGCAGGGAAAUUAUGUUCUCUGGGUUGUAGCAAGAGAUGACCAAAGUUGUCCCAUCAAAAUGCGUGUGUGUGUGACAUUCCAUUCGACACGUUGAAUGGCUACCUGCUUCGAUGCUCGAGUUGACUGCAGAGUAAAUGGCUGCCGCACCAAAACACAUAUGCCUGAAAAGUCGGUAGAUAGAGAGUGAUCUAAAAUUAAUGGAAUACUGCAUCGUAGUUUCUAUCUGUGUAUUGAUACCUCAUUUGCGAGAGCUGCACACUGCGGAUGAUACUAUAGGAAAUUUCCAUUACAACUGAACCUUAAUUGUCUUUGACGUCUGUAUGAUGAUGUUGCUGCUACCGGUGCUAUUUUCUUGAAUGAAUUAUAUGGUUGAUGCUCUACGGGUUGUGUCCUGCUGUGGCGACAUUAGAGCGUCAUCUACGAUCAGUAAACGAUGGGCACUUUCAUGACGCAAAAGCGACGGCCCUCUCACUAGUCAAUGGUUGGUGAGAUGUCAUACCUUCUGAGGAAGAAGAUGCGUUGGAAGGAUCAAACUCUCGCAAAGGGGGUUUGAUCACAUUGGUUGGCUUUCGAAGGAUUAGGUGAAGAAACACACGUGGUGAAGGAGGUGGACUUGCAUGCUUGCACUCAUUGGUGUCGUGUAAGGGUAUCCUCCAUGGUUCUCACCUUCCAAGUAGAUGAAUUAAGAAUCAAAUAUUUUCUUUUAUGAGUCACUUUAAAAUGCAUAUUCAGCUCUAAUGGUGUUGUCGAGUCAGAUUGAAGUCGACCUAAAUAAUUUUCUUGCUCAUAUGGACAUCAAAUCAUGGGUCCUCAUGAAAAAGAAGAUACUCGGGAGAAACGUAUUAUGAAAUGUUAUACAUCAAUGUCAUUACUUUUAAUUAGAGCCUCUUUUAUAUUAUAUAUAUUUAUAUAUUUAUACGUGACUUGUGCUCUAAUAUCAUUUAAUACGUUGCAUCUAGAAACUUAAUUUUAUAGAUGAGGAUGAGACACGAUAUAUAGAUUUGUAUUCUUAACAUACCUUACUAUAAAAAGUGGAUAAAUGGAAGGUCUUGAUAUGUAUCUACUAUAGUAAAGGACAUCAAGACGAAGAAAAAUUAGAAUAGUAAGAGAUAAGCUCUCGAACGAAGUCAAUAGUGUAUUAAUGGAGAGACGAGAGACAUGAGAUGUUCAAACUUUGAUUUUUGAGCGCAAGUUCUAUCGAAUGAUUCAUUUGUCUAGCCUUUGACCUGAUGUAUUUAGAAUAGUUAUAAGAGUAAGAAUUGUACUUUUAUAUAAAAAAAUUUAUUUAUUCAAUUGAUGUUAAUUCGGAAUCAAACAAAAUUUUAUUCUAAGUUUAUCUCAACUUUAGAGACGGAAAAUAUCGAAUAUACUCGAAUCGAAUGUGUUAAUCUUACAAGAAAUAUGUCAAAAGCACAUGAUAGAGCCCUUAUGAAAAUUAGUUUUGAGUGUAAGGUAUUGGUUGGAUGUCAAAGCUUCUAAUAUUGUAUGUAUCAAAGGUGAAAAAGUCUAAGAAGUUAAGAAAUGACUUAAUGUCACAUAAUUAUACGUCUUCUUUAUCAAAAAUACCAUAUUAAAUCUAAAAAAAUAUAAUGCCACCAGCAACUAAAGAGUCGAAAGUAACAAUGACAAGUUACUCAUAUGAUGUGGUGGUAACCAUAUUGUUGUGAUAUCAAUUUUAUUUUAUUUAUUAAAUAUAACAAUGAGAUGCCAGUAAUUAUAUUUUUUUUAUAAAUUUUUUUUUAUUCAAAUGAGAUGUUAAUUCGAAAUCAAUCAAAGUUUUAUUAUGUAUUUGUCUCAACUUAGUAGAUAUCAAAGCUUAAUUGAGAAUAAGAGUUAAGAAAUAAAUUAAUGUCAAAUAUUUAAAUAUUUUAUUUAGUUUCAAAAGUAAUCAUAUCAUCUUAAAUCUAGAGGGUAUGAUGUAACCAGCAACCAACGUGCUGGAAGUAAUCGAUUUCAUGACACCAAGGUAUCAUCGAUCAUAUGAUGUCGAAGUGUCAAUCAUUUUAUUAUUCUUAUAUUAAUUUUAUUUAUUUAUUUAUAUAUAAACGGUUACAAAUUUUCUUCAUAUUUAGUUCAUUUGGACCAAAAAUACCAACAUAACAAAUGAAGACGAAUCCUCUCAACAUCACUCCAGAAUCCCGUUCAACACGGAAAACCUUCGAGCAAUGUCGCCACGACAAAUCCGAUUUCCUCGCUACACGCUAUUGUGUCCCUAAAAAUUCUCGAGUAAUGGAUCACCGAGUCGCGACGAAACGGGCAAAAGCCUGUCCCGACGGAUCAUUGUCACUGCAAAGGUCAUGCAUCGGCGACAAAAGACAUGAAACACUGUCCUCCGAAUCCAACGCUUUAUCAUCAUUUUUGUCUGGAUAUUUAUGCAAUGUUUACGAAUGCUUGACCUCACAAUUCCAUGGCCCACUUCAAUCUAUAGUUGCAGACAGAGAGAGAGCCAGAGAGAGAGAGAGAGAGAGAGAGAGAGAUUCUUCGCAGGCCUGGGCUUGGACUUUUUUCUGGGCCUAUGGACCCAUGCUUGGAUCAGAUAAGGCCGAGGUGCAUUUGUUCGAUAAAGGCCGGAUGUGAGUCCUUUGAAAGAAGCAUCGGCUGGCUAUUGUAUGUAUAGAGGGUCUUCGAUCCCUGUAGAUGCACGUACGUAUAUCAUCUGUAUACAUAAUUCACUGUGAGAAGACUGCUUAUGUGUAGCUUCAUCUUGGCUAUAAGCUUGUACGGUUGGUAAUUGUUUUACAUAUGUACAGCAUGUGAUGUUUCUACAUGGCUGUGGCGUUACAGCCCAUCCUGCUAAUAAUUGUAAGCAUGUUGACUUCAUUCAACACACCACGGCAUCACGCAUUCGUAGUUACCAUGCGCCGCCACCCACACGGCAUGACCAUGGGAAGUAGGAGUGCACUCAGUCAUCAGUGCCUACUGAAAACCACGCGAUAGGGAAUCACAAUGACCAUCACUUUUUACUGAUGUCCUUCUCCCAUCGUCUGUUUUUGACCUCCACACAUAGAAGCUCCGUGUUUCGCGCUCUUUCCGACCACCACAGCAAGUGCGGAACACCACGCGUUAAUCAUCACAGUGGUGGCCCGUAGUUAACCUCGUCGGAUAAGCAGCACAUGUAGAGGCCAUAUCUAAACUUGGUUGAGAGAUGGAGAGACUACAAUGAAGAUGACAUUAGAUUUGUGAAACCAAAAGCUUUGCUUGCCACCAACUCCUUGGAUCCGUUCCUUUCGAAGGAACCACGAGUCCAAGUCAAAAAAGAUACCUCUCCACCACCUUCAUUUGAUUUCUUUGGGCGUAAUCUUUUGGGCCCAUUCUUCCUCAACACUGCGAUUCUGUCAUCGCUGUCGGUUUGUGGGAGAUCGGCUUUAUGCCUAGUGCAACUUAAGCUACGAACAUGAUGUGAACAAUCACUGGAGAUGUGCUGACCGCUGGUCUCUAAUCCACAAAGCACGAUUAGGAGCACUGAUAAUAAUGCUUUCCGUUGGUGGUGUGUCCAACUCAACCAGAUUAUACGACCACCAUUAGCCAUCAGAAGCAUCCGAAGCGAACAAAUCUUUUGUAGUCAUCCAUCCAAAGCGUCAUAAUGGUCGGAAGGGAAAAGGAAAAGAAGGAUACAUCCUCUGCUGCCAAAGGCGGAGGAGAGCUGAAAAGCGGAGGUGGUGGUGGGAAUCCCUCGGCCCGGUCGUUGACUUGUGUGUCUGAAGCUUUAUGGAUGGAAUUUUUUGAUCUGAUUUCAUUCUGCGAUCCAUGAUGUGGAGGUGGAAUCUAAAAGAUCGAUUCAUGACAUGUAUGCUAUAUGAUAUGAAUUCUAGAAUCCAUCACGAUUGUGUUGGAUUUGGUGUGGAAGGACCGGAGGCUGAUAGGAUGGCAAACAUGGCCACCUGUUUCUGUUCGACUAAUACUUGUUUGGUUCUGCUUUGCCUCCUGCAAGAAUCACUAGUUGAUGCAUCACGUCUUGUUUAGCAUUCAAAACGCCAAGAUGUAACAAACACAUGCCCAUCGAUCCAUUAAACGGUAGGGGCGACCUGUGCAAGUCAUCAUAUGAAAUGGCAGUCAGAAUAAUGGGGCUGACCUAUUCAGGCUACGAUCAAAAACAAUAAUAGAAAGUCAUGGAGCAUCAUUCCACGUUUGUGCUUGUUUCUGCAAGUCAUAAGAUUCGACCAAGAGUACUCCUUGUGAUGCCCGCCACCACAAAAGCUCUUCCACUCUAUUAUUUUAUGUGCACUGAUGAAAGGUCGAUCUUUAUACAUAUCCAUCGAGAUGAGACUCGAUUAAUUGAGCGAUAAAGAAACAGAUACGUAUCAUUCAUUCAAAGAAGAUUCGGAUGGGAGAAGGAUGAACUUCCCCUCUUCCAGCUAACUUCCAUGGAAGAUAAAUCAUAUAUAUAUAUAUAUAUAUAUAUGGCACUGUGUGUGAUGUUAGCUGCCAUCGGUCUAUCUCUGUGCGCUCAAAAUGAACAGUUUAGAGAUGGCCGUGGACGCGGCCGAAAUGGCAUCAGCCAUCAAGAGAACUUUCAACAGCGACGAGAGUUGGCAGGUCUGUGAACUGAGAGAGAGAGAGAGAGAGAGAGAGAGAGAGAGAGAGAUACACCUCCAAAGACGGGCACUGGUUGAUAGAUACGUUCCUGGAAAGCAGCCUGUGAUCCAAGCUUGACCAUGUGCCACCGAGUCCAAAAGUCUCUUACGGCAGAAAUUAAGAAUCGUAAAUAAUAAUGUGAUUAUGCAGAAUUAUCCUUUGAAGGUCCAAAAUUCUAAUGUAAUUAGUACUGGGGAUUGCAGUGCUGACACUGAUGAUUUGACGCCUAAGAAAUUAUUUGUAGGAAGAAACACCGCCAUGACUCGUGGUAAAAAAAAAAAAGUACACUGUGUAUUAUUCUAAGUUAAAUCUUAAUGAAUCAGUCUAUAUAUCAAAACAUGUUUAUGUCACUUGCAGUGUUGGAGGAAGAGAUUUCUUUUACUUUUCCUUUUUUCUCUUUGAAGGAAAGAUUGAAAAGAGAGGAUAUUUAGCUGCAGCGCUGAGUGUUCCAAAAUAGACGCCCACAUAUAUAUAUAUAUAUAUAUAUAUGCACAUCGUUCUCUCU
rnacentral:lncRNA from 1 species